ACCAGAUUACCCCGCUUGUCGCAAAAUUGAAUUGUGGUUGAUUACAGACCACUCCAUCUACGAGCGAGCCUAAAAGUCACCAACUUAUUGACUCAAACAUGGGUGUCAUGAUCCAUACCAAUUGCCACCUGCUCACCCCUUCAUGGAAGAAGCUCUCCCCCAAGAUGCAAGAGGAGAUGAGGAAAGAGAUUUUGAUAAGUAUGGAAUUUUUUUUUUUUUUUUUGCUUUUACUUAUUUUGUGUAGUCCAUAUGUCACCAUUUCAUUGAAUCAAUAUCAGGGACCAUUUGCGAUAAAAAUCGUUAUUUUGUGUAAUCAUGCGUCACCAUUUCAUUGAAUUUAUAGGGUAGUAAGUGUCAAGGACGACAUUGAUUGUCUUAUGCCCCCCCCCCCCCCCGAAACAGCAGUUAAAAGACUUGAGUCGAAAAACUAUAUGGAAGAAGCAAGCCUCAAGACUUAUUAAAAUGAAUGCCCAAAAGGUAAGAUCAAGGUGAAAUAGUUCACAAGUUGCUAGGGUGCAGUACCAUUCAAAACAUUACAUCCAGGGAUUCAAAGGCUGAGAUCGCAUAUCACAUUAGUAGAAAAGAUGAAAAGGUGGACCUGUUUUGUCUAGGUAGCUUGGUAAUGUAGGAUAGAUAUUUGAAUGUCGCUAGGGUUAGCGGGGGGUCUGCUAGAUAGACAUUAUCGAAUAGCACAUUUUGAUGAGAGAUAUGAACAAGUGGCUUUGACAAAACUAGUGUUUUCUGAAUUAUAUGAAGCCAGUAAGCAAAACAGUGAAUCCAUAGGUAUUUGAACCUGAGUAUCCAGGAAAAUGUAGAAUAUUUGAUAGAAGAAUAGAAUAUCCUUUUGAACAACCUGAUUUAAUAGGAAAGCUUUAUAUCUUGAAAUUAAUUCAUCAAGUUGAUAAUAAAAUAUGUGGACGUUCCAGUGGACAUUAUGCACUUGUUACACAACAACCCCUUAUAGGAAGGGCCAAGCAAGGGGCACAACGGGGUAAAGUUUGAAAUUUAUUAAUUCUAUGAUUUAUGAUUCAAUUUUUUUUUUUUUAAGAUACUAAAGAAUAAAAAUCUGAAAGCUUUUCUUUGUGGUUAUAAUGCCAAAAAAAUCAAGUCGGCUCAUUCGUCUAUAUAUUGAUUGUUACAGGCCUCUUGAAUUUGAAAGUGAAUGACCAAAAUGAUGAGUUUGAUCAAUUUCAGGGACCAUGAGUAAUAAAAACCCUUAAAUGUAUUUUUUUAAACUAAUACACUUGUUUUGUGGUCUAUUUCAAACCAACUUCUCUAUCGACAUGCAGCACCUAGGUACGAAGGAGUAUACAAUUUAGGUGUGGACUAAGCUCCUACUGAUCCACCCCUAAAGUUUGCAAAGAUGAUUGACUAGUGAGAAUGGUUAUGCAGUUAUUUUUAGAAAUUGGAAUUUUUUAUAAGCUUUUUUUUUAAUUUAAUUCUAUUGUUUUGUUUUUCUAUUUAAGUUUUUUUUUUAAAUUAAUUUAUUUUUAUAAUUUACGGUAGAAAUCGAUAGCAAAUAAGGUUAACGGGGAAGAUAAGUCGUACCUUCAUCGCUCUGGUUCUUGGCCCUUCACUUCCCGAGUUGAAGAACAGCGUGAUGAGGGUUCGCUUUUCCCAAAAGUCGAGGCAUAGGAGCAUACGUAUGUCAAUUAUGGCAACCAAGUGGCAGUCAACAUUUAUGUAUGUAUUUUGUUCAAAAUUUUAAUUUUUACACAAAAUUUAGAAUUAUGAUCGACAAUCUUAAUUGGUUUUUUUUAGGCUUCUAUGUUGCAGAAAAAGGAUGAGUACCUCACCAACCUCUCCUAGCAGCAACCGGACACGCCAAUGGAGGAGCUGGCACCUGAUCCAGGGUUUUUUUUUUAUAGGCUUCUAUAGUUGUUGAUGGACAAGGUUGGAUGACGAAAAGGCAAAUAACUCUGCGACCUAGAAGCGGGGGGGGGGGGGGGAGGGGGGGAUCUUCUUCAUCUAGUAUCAACCUUGACGCAGAAAGUUUUUCAGACUCCAACAGUUAGAGAUUGAGCUAGCAGACCUAUGACAACGAGAAAAAGAAGCUUGGAAAGAAGUGUGCUAGUGAGAAAAGGGCCUUCUGCAGUACAUUGUUAGGAUGAAGAAAUGGAAACCCCAGGCAUUGCCUUCCUAGUCCUCUGAGCAACCUUUAGCCACCAUCCCACUAGCCAGCUCACCAACGACCCAAUAGUCGUAGUUGGUUUAGGAUUUUUUGUAUAUGAAUAUUUUAUUUUUAAUAUAAUUAACUAUUUUAUCAUAUUGUGAUUAUUUAGGUUAACAUAAUUUAAGUUCCAAUUAAAAAUAAUAAAAUUAAAAGGUCUGCCUGACAACUACUUUCAUGUGGCAAAAUAUUUUAAUUUUUUUAUUUUAUGGAAACCCAAUGAAAUAAUUGCGUAGGCCAAGAUUCAUUUGUCGGGCGAACUUGGUUAUGUUAGGAUGCCAGAUGGUAUCAUGUUAUGGUGUUUAGUUACUAGUUUUAGAGUUAGUGAUUACUACAAACAAUAUCUUGUAUAAGAAGAUAGGCAAUUAAUGAAAUAUAGUAUAAGCCAGUUUUCGUUCCUCUCAAUCCUUCUCCAUUGUAUGACGAGCAAAACAUCGCGCAAAACCAUGGAAUCGCGAGUUUCCAAUCUAGAAACUGUGUUCGACGAAUUUAAGAACAAAAUCAAGAUUACCCAAGGCUUCAUUCUUCUUCAAUUGCAGUCCCUAGUGGCGAAGUGUAAUGAAGGUUCUCUUAGGGAAUCUUCGGAAGCUACUCUUGGUGAUCCACAUCUCCAAGAGGCGAUAAACCCUAAUUUCGGCCCCGAUUCUCAGCGUUACGAUUUAGUACCAAAUUUGUGGCGACCAUUCAUCAAAAUGGUGUUCUCUGUUCUGAAAUCGAAUAAAAAUGUUCUCAUGCUUCAAUCCUUCCACGAAAGAUUCAAGCCCGAGAGAAAGCAUAUGAGCUCUUUCUAAAUUUCGUCCAAGAUACAAGCCCAAGACUUAUCCUUGUUUAAGACUCGUAUUAAAGAAAUUCAAGAAGGUUCGAAACUACGUCAAACAACACAACGAUGGUUCUGCAACGUUUCGUUCCAAUCCCAAAUUUCAAGAAAGUUUUGGGUAUUUUCUUAAUGAUUUGGAUAGGCAAAAUGAAAGGUUUUUUUUUAUUUAAUUGACAAGAAAGCUGAAGAUUUUGUGAUAGUUUCUCCAGUUCUUCAUUUUGAUGGCAUGGAAUACAAGGUUCAAGCUAUCGUUUUUGGGUUCUGCAUUUCCUAACAGCUUGGCUACUGCUUUUGGAGAUAAAUUCAAUCUGUUUUGGACAACGCCUUUGUUUAUUUGUGAAUCUAAUUGUAAGAAUGAAUUGGCCCAGGAUUUCGUUUUCAAAAUUUCUGUUUUUGAUGUUGGGUUCAUGAAAAAGGAUUCAUCUACACUCCAAGUGUUUGAUGAAAGGUCGUACUCAACAAAUGAUUAUGAUCUUCAAUUAGGCUAUCAUAUGCCAAUUUCCGACACUGGGGGUACAAAUAUUUGUGGGCGUGGUUUGUUUCGAAAUUUUAGAAAAGUGACGAAUUUGAGAUAAUCACAUGGGGUUUUGUGGGUUUCUAUCAGUUUAUGCAAGCACAACCCUCAAUUGUUGAGAAUGAAUGCCAGAAAGACCUGGAUGGAAUGUAUGCCCACAAUGUGUUUGUUAGAAUGCAGCAAACAACAGACAUUGUUUCUUUGAAGCUUGGGUUCCAUGUGUCCAUUUGUGAUAAAGGCGGAAGAACAACUAUUCAAGGGCUCUUUAAUUCGAAAUCUACAAGGGAAGUUGAAACCAUUUCGAUGUUACAAAUGCUUCUGCUUAACUAGUUGAUGAAAUGUGGUUUUUUAGUGGGUUUUAUAAUGAUGUAAUUGUUGCUGUUGGUUUUGAGUUCAACUACCUUAUGGAAAUUCAGGACAAGGGUGGAGGGUCUCAAUUAGAUCUGAGUAUAAGAUGUUAUAAAGAACUUAUCCAAGGAAAAUGAAAUAUUUCAACUUAAUGAACAUGAUUUUAAGUCUGCAUGUGUAGAAAAUAAAGGAUAUAAAGAUGUUAGUGAGUCUGCAGUUGCAAAAUAACAGCUGAUAUUAAAGAACAUUAUCGGGAAAGGCAUCUAAAGUACAACUUCCAUGUCUUGGUUAUUAACCGAUGGAAGAAUGAUGACAAUGAGAGACCCUGAUAUUCUUUACCAUCUUAGUAGAGAAUAUAUUGGCCAGAGAAAAUGGGAUCCUGACUUCAAUGGUGCAAAAAUGAUGCUUGAGUUAGUAGAUGGGUAUAAUGUUUCAACUGCAAAACAUUGUCAGCAUUUGUUUUUACUUCAUAUUGAUGUUUGCUUAAAGUGAUGGGGAAGAAGGCAACAAAUAUUUAGAAGGGAGUUUGAAUUAUUUUGAAAGGAAGUCAGAAUGUGAGGAAGCAACGAAAUUUUAAGAUUACUCCACAGUAAAUAUCAUUGCUCAUUUUUUUGGAGGGUGUAAUGUCGAGUUAUUUUUCAGCAGUAAGCGACUGUAGAUAGGAGAACGAUCAAGAAGGACAAUGAUGUUGCUACUCAAAGUGUGAGUCCAAUGGCAGAACCAUUCCAAGGAUGAUGUUACUUGGGAGUUGUAUCAUGAUUUGAAGCUCAAGUUUCCAGAAAUUGUUAAUCAUUGAGCUGUUAUGUUUUCAUUGUGUAGUUUCGUACUUGGCUUUUAUUUCCUUAAGUUCUGUUUUAAGAGGGGGUAUUAUUAGGAUGCCAGAUGACAUCAUCUUGUGGUGACAAAUGUACAAUGGAUAUUAAUAGUUAGUUACUAGUUGUGUCAUGAUGAAGAUGUCUAUCCUUUAGGUAAAUAAGCAAUUUAGUUUUAGGUAGUACAAAAGAGGCUCAGAAGACAAUACAGACUCAUGCCAUUGUUCACUUACCAGACUUAAGAGUACCUCCUCAAGAUCAUGAACAGUUUUCUCAUAGUAUUCAAGAGGUCAAUACAUUUUCAGUUACAGAUAACAGUGCAAAUUUAGUUUCAAGUAUCAGUAGUCUAGAAUCUCCUACUAAUGGUGUUCUCAGUUCAAUGCAAGAGGAAUAUAAUCCACUCAGGGCUCAAGGAACAUGGAUUUUAGUGCCACCUCCAGACGAUAGAGCCAUUGUUGGAAGUAAGUGGGUAUACAAGGUUAAAAAAAAACUCAAAUGCGGUGUAUUAAGAUAAAAAGCCAAACUAGUGGCUUAAGGUUUUUCUCAUGAGCAUGGUAUUGAUUAUCUGGAUACUUUUAGUCUUGUUGUAAGACGUACAAUAGUUAGGAUGGUAUAAGCCUUGAUUGUUGUUAAUCAUUGGGAUCUUAGGUAAUUAGACCUUAAAAAUGCCUCAUGCAUGGUGAUUUACAGGAAGAGAUGUAUAUGAAACAACCUCAGGGCUUUGUUGAUGCUACUUAUCCCACAUAUGUAUGCAAAUUGAUCAAGUCAUUAUAUGGUUUAAAGUAGGCCCUAAGAGCAUGGAUCUCAAAGUUUACAAAGUUACCUAGCAACUUUGAAUUUCAUUGUUUCUUCUUCUUCUUAUACAAGUCUAUUUGUGAAGAAUGAUGGUUCAUAUAUGGUUAUUCUGUUACUAUAUGUGGAUGAUAUCACCAUUACUGGUUCUAUCCCAUCAAAAGUACAAUUGGUUAUUCAAGAACUCUCUGAAAUGUUUGAACUCAAGAAUAUGGGUAAGCUGACCUAUUUCCUAGGAUUACAGAUCAAUUAGAAGUCAAAUGGUGAUAUGUCAGUAAAUCAAUCUAAAUACAUUUAAGGCUUGAUUCACGAAGCAGGAAUGGAUUCAUGUGAGUCUGUAGCUAUACCUUAUUAACCUUAUAUUAGUUAUUUGAUGCAGAAGGUACCUUAUUGACAGAUUCAAUAGUAUACAAAAGUUUGGUUAGUUCAUUGCAGUAUUUGACUUCACUAGGCCCUACAAUGCUUUUGCAGUAAAUUCAGUAUGCCAAUUCAUGACUGCACCCACUGAAUUGCAUUAUGGAGCUGUCAAAAGAAUUCUUAGAUAUCUCCAAGGUACAAUUACCAUGGGAUUACAUAUUCUGCAGACACAUUAGUUUAGUUUACUGCAUUUUCAAACUUAGAUUGGGCUGCUAAUCUUAAUACCAAAAGAUCAGUGACUGGUUAUGUGGUGUUUUUGGGAUCCAAUCUCUUGGCAAUCAAAGAAGCAAAGCUCAGUGUCUAGAAGUUCAACUGAAGCUAAAUACAAAGCUCUAUGACAUACUGCAUCUGACAUUACUUGGGUGAGAAAUAUUUUGAAAGAUUUAGUUGUUGCUUUGUCUAAUCCUCCAGUGAUUCAAAUAUGUUGCAAUUGCAUUAAGUGUAAAUCCUGUAUUUCAUUCAAGAAUAAAGCACUUAGACACAAACUACCAUUAUGUAAGGGAGAGAGUUUAGAAGAGAGAUUUGGAAGUGGUGUAUAUUCCAACAGAUGAACAAAGAAGUGGUGUAUAUACUAACAGAUGAACAAAUUGCAGAUGUAUUGACUAAAGGACUUCACAAUCCAGCUUUUGUUAGACACUAUUACAAUCUUCAACUUGGAAGCCCCAGUUGAGAUUGAGGGGGGAUGUUGAAGAUAAAACCAUAUCAGCUAAAUGCCACAUCAGCAGAAGAGUGCCACCGCAGCUAAAGUUUGUCAGAGAAACUUUAGACUGUUAGUAGUUGUUAGAGUGUUAAGACUGUUAGCUAUAGCUUAAGACAUAAGAAGGCUCAUGAGAGUGGACCUGAGGAUUAGAAAUGCAGAGCUCUUAUCAAGAAUCCAAUGAGUCUGCGAAAUCCAAAUUGCACCAGAUAUGUGGAUCAAAUUAAUAUUAAUUGGAAUUAGGGUUCCAAUAUGCUUAAGCCUUGAGCUCCAAAAUGAGGUUAUUUCAGCAAAACUUAAAGAUUAACAUGCACCAAAAAGAUCAACGAGAACAGACAUGUCAUAAUGCGACGUAGAAAUUUCCGAUAAAAACUUUCGACAGACUUUCGACAACCAAGUUGCACAUAUAAGACGUAUCUCCCACAGAUUUUUCUUUCUCUUCGUAAUUCAAUGGUUCUGGUGGAAGUCCGUCAGUUUCAUAGGACUUGUGACCUAGCUAUAUUAUAUAUCUUAUAUUAUGUAUAUGUCCUCUUGUCUAUGAUGGCGAGGAGAAAGGAAGCGGAUUGGCUAAAAGGAGAUAAGUAUGGUGACAAAUGUGCUUCCUUUUUGGCCAAAAAGAUUUGAGGGAAAUACUAUUGACUUUUUAUGAGGACAAAAUUUUCUACCAAAUGAUGGAAGAUUGAACACAAGGAUCCCUUUCACGUCUAUUGAAAAAUGAUUGUUUUUAGAAAGUUGCUAACUUGUACAGUUUUACUAGAUGGUUGGUCGAUUUUCUCAUACAACAAUUUAUCAUAUUCACUAAACAAAUUAAUAUAGGACUACUUGUAAGUUGUAUACACGAGUUACCUAGCAAGGGCAAUUUUAUAACAACAAAGUUGAUCCUUAAGCCACUUUUAGCUUGUUAAAUGUGUACGUUCACAAGUGUUUGCGUGUUUAAUAUAAAGGAGGAAAUUUUCCUUUUAGACAUAGAUUUUACCAAAUUAAUCCUCUCAUAGAUGAGAUAUAUAUAUAUAUAUAAUGUUUAUGAAAUAUUGUUCAAGUUUAUAUACAUUAUUCACCUAUCUUUUAAUGGUUCAAGUUUUAGUAACAUUUAGUAAGAGUAUUUUCUCCCGGUGAAUUUGGUUAAGUGUUGGAUAUGAUAAUCAAAUUGUCAGUAACCUCUCGACAAUGUUUAAACAUCUUCCAUUUUGCUCUCAUUAGAGCGUCGUCGAAUCGGUAACAUUCUAGAGAAGACCUAAAUUGAGGACUUGCUUGUUGAAUCACAUGAAAAAUAUAAAAUCCUCAACUUAUGUCGACAUCAAUCAAUCUUUCCAAGUUACUCACUUUUUCCCAAGGUGGAAUCAUUCCUUGUGAUGUGAGUUUCAACUAUCUAUACAUUUAUCCAAGACUCAGUAAUCAUAAAUUCUGCUUUUGAUGAUAAUAUUCGAGAAGAAAAGGAAGCAUGCAGAUGCAGUUUCAAAGGGACAAAUCAUGCAAAACGAUUGACUGCAAUAACCUUCAAACUUGAUUUCUACAUCAACCAUAAUUCGAUGGAUUUUCAUGCGGCUUAUGCUUAUUAUUAUGAUAUUGGACCUCCCACUUCAGCAGAUUAAGCAUAACUAAUGGUUGAGAAUGGAUAACAUAGGAUGGUGCCCAACUUUAUAUAACACCUUCUGCUGCUGGCACUCAUCAGCCAUCACUCGUUCAUGCAUAUGCAUCAAUCUACACCCAUCAUUCAAUAAGCGUUCGAGCUAGCACACUUUUGAUGAAAAUAAAUAAAUAAAACAUCAUAUUUCUUAAAGGACCUUAAUGAUUCAAUAUCAAUGAUAUAUAUUUCGAGUAAUGCUAGGGAGAUCAAAUUUUUUUAAACUAAAUUUACAAACCAAAUGAUGUGGUUAUAGAUGAUUAGAUUGUUAAUGAAAUGUCGAUUAACAUGCUUGUUUAUUAUUUGGGACACGUAAUUUGAUUUUAAAAUUUGGUCUUUCUAGCAUUUAUCCAUUUCUAAAAGAAUGUAUACUAUUGAAAUGAAACAUCAAAAUCAUACAUCCUUCAGAAAGGAGAAUCCAAUGUCGAGAAAGUGUAAUCAAAUGCAACUUGUAGGGAAAAAAAAAAAACCAUAAUUAGAAAUAUGAAAAGUCAAAAAUGAGUGAGGGAAAUUUACUUAUGUAGAACUUCUUAUAAAUGUUCAAUGAAAAAUAAUUUUUUUUCCUCUAAAACAGGCAAUAAAGAUGAACUUAAUGGACACUAAAGAGACACUAAAAUGACUUAUAACUUAGGUGGUUAAACAUAUUCAAUCUUUACCUAAGGUCUCGAGAAUAAGCUGAAGUGAUGCGAUACAUAAUGAAACAAAAUGAAAUACUUUAACGAUACAAGAGGAGAAUUUUGAUUCCCACAUCCUCCGAUAUCUCUUCUAGAGAAAAAUGGGACACUAUUAUUGACUAUGUAGUGUCUUUUAGUGAAAGUUCUAAUAUACGUUGAAGAUUUGUUAAGAGAUGAACCAAUCCAUUUAUAUUUCCAAAUAAGUAGUAAAGGGAACUAAAAGCUUGUGUGUAUUGGAAUUAGAAUUUGUUAAGGCGAAUUUGAACCACAUCAUUAUGAGCUUAUUGUGAAGCCAAAUUCAUCCCUCCCUCUUAAUGUAGAUAAUAUCGUUUGUUCAAAAAAAAAAAAAGGGUCAAUACACGGUGUUUGGUGUGCUUGAAUUAAUGAUGGUUUGUCUUAUGCCUAAGACAGAAUGUUAUUUACAUAUCUCUGUCAAGCCUGUGAGAUCUUCUGGCUAGAAACUACUUCAGACAAAUUGGUGGGCCUUUAGGAUUUGUUUGCAAAGGAUAUGUGGGGGAAAUUAGCCGUAUCGAAUUGAGCCGAAGCUUGAGAGCCAGGCACAUAAUUAUAAUAUAAUGUAAAAUAUUGGUUAAUCUAAUUACUUGGUAGGGCAUGCUAGGGAAUCGCUAGUCUCAAUUUUUUUUUUUAGAAACCAGUCUCAAAAAGCUUAAACGCCCAUAUUGUAGAAGAGCGAGACAAACAUGUAAGUGAAGCCUCACCAAGAGCUUUGUAAAUCAAUAAAGAUGUGGGGAAUGAAGAUCAAACUCAGGAACACUUGUAAACAAGAUUCUGAUACGAUAUCAAACAUCUUUUAAGAGGAUUCACGGCAUGUUAAAUCAUGUUAAGGUUCUUUGCUAUGCAUCGGAGUAAACCACAUGCUCCACCGCUGCUACAGUCCUCCUCAGUUCUUUGAGUUUCAUUCUUCCACAUUGUACUCCAGAAAUAAAUAUAGAAACAAAUAUAUAGAAGAAGAAAAUAGUUUUAUGAAAACUAUUUUGAUCAAAAUUAAAAGGGAACUUUCAUGAAAAGGGCUUGGGCUAAAUUUAUUUUAACAAAAAACCAUGCUAUAACUUUAUUAAAUAAAGAUUCGACGUAAACUAGGAGUGCUGGCUGUCAACUACCUGACGCCCUCCCCCUCCUCCUUUAUCCGGGCUUGGGAUCGGCAAUGUAAGAUAAACUUACACAGACGGAGUUUAUAACUUUAUUAAAUGAAAAAAAAAAUUAAAUUUUAAUGAAAAACCCUUAAAUUUUAAUAAAAAUGACAAAAAAUAUAAAUUUUAAUGAAAAUGACACAAUUAUAAAAAAAUAAAAUAAUAAUAAUAAUAAUAAAAACUGACACACGGGACAUGUACACUGUUUAUGAAACUGAACACUAUUUAUGAAACUGAACGGUACUAUACUAUUUAUUGGUCAAAUUUCAUAAAUAGUGCCUAGUUUUUUGUCCACUUUCAUAAAUAGUGUCUAGUUCUUGGUCAUAUUUCGUAAAUAAUGCCUAGUUAUUGGGCCCAGUUUCAUUAAUAGUGUCUCUUUCUUGGUUCAAUUUCAUAAAUAGUGUCUAGUUAUUGGUCUACUUUCAUAAAUAGUGCCUAACUCUUGGUCAGGUUUUUAUAACUAUUGUCUAAUUCUUACUCCAGUUUCAUAAAUAGUUUCCACCUAUCGGUUUAGUUUUGGAAAUAAUGCAUAAUUCUUGUUUUCGUUUUUGUUUGGGCCCAAAAUAAUAGUUUGGGCCGAGUAUAGAAUCAUUCUCGGCCCGGAAGGCCUUGCGAUAAGAAUGCCAUGGAUCGUUCAGCACGUGGGCCUCUAAACCUAGGUCGGCUAGGUCACAACACAAGACAAGUCGAGUCCUAGUGCAAUAGGGAGUCUCGGUAGGAUUAAUAACCCGGAAGCGAAUCCGGCUGGAUUAAGGACUAGGUUCACAAUCCUAGUGAAAAUAGGACUGGCCGAGUUGGUGCUGAUCAGGAGAAGAAGACCUAGUCCGAGUAGGGUUUUAACCCGACCUUGGGUGGAACCGUUGCUAUAAAUAGAAGAGGCUGUGCAUCAUUCAAGCCCCCUGCAAAUCAAUACAAAACUGCCCUGCGCAAACUCUCAACAACUUGAGAUUUUUUCUUUCUUUUUCGCUGACACAUCUUCCGUUGGCAUCAACAGCACUGUGGAAGCAACCGAUGAUAUCUUAAGUCGGCAUAGAUAGCUCUAUCACCGUAGAAUCAGUCGAUCUCGCAGCAUCUUCCGUUGGCAUCAACAGCACUGCGGCGAGAACGGUUGGUUACCUAUCCAAGUCUCGGUCGAGGAGGAUUUCCGGGUCCUUAUUGAUUGAGGUCAUCUCAUUAGCCUUCUCGGCGAAGUGAGGUGUUACGGUAUAUCGAGCUCGGCGCAUUGCACGCCGAGUUGUUUUAUGAUUGGAUACUCCCAAGUAGGAUUUAGAGUUCGGCAUUCGGACGGCCGAACCACGUUCACCAUCAAGACUUAUAUCUGUUUUGAGUAUUUAUGCCCUUACACUUUGGUGUCGAUUCGGCGAGAGUUUACUCUGACGAAUAACAUCACUGUGACCGAGUCCGACGACGACGAUUCGUGAACUUCGUAAAGAAUAGUAACCUUGUCUUCAGGUUCGAGAACCCAAGAGGCCGAGACGUGUUCCUUCCUCGGUCGCAAUCACAAGACGUAGAAGUCAGCCGCGCACCCAACGCAACACCAACAAAUUUACUCCUUGGCCAAGCUCGGUCGACGAGUUGGCACGCCCCGCAUUCAUCGAAGGACGUAGUUAGCCUGUAGAUUACUCGGCCUGCGCGCCACGUAGGCUUGGUAGUUUCUAGGGUCAACAGUUUUAUAAAUAGUGUCAACUUAUUGGUCCAGUUUCAUAAAUAGUCUCUACUUAUUGGUCUAGUUUCAUGAAUAGUGUCUACUUAUUGGUCAAGUUUUAUAAAUAGUGUUUAAUUCUUGGUUCAAUUUCAUAAGGUUUGAAACUUAGACCAUUUUUGGUUCUGUAAAAGCACCCAUUGCGCAGAAAACGAUGAACACAAAAGUGAUCUUUUAGAUCAAAACCUUGCAAAGAUUAUGUUCUUAGUAAUUAUAUUUAAAAAGCUAUUUUCAAUUACCAAAUUAAAAUUUCCUCACAUUUUUUACAUACCUACAAUAAUAAAUAUAGCUCUCCAUACAAUUUCUUGAGCUUGGGUAUCAUCUUGGAGAAAUUUUUCCUUGUGCCCAUAAUACAAAAUGGUAUACCAUGUAUUAAUAUGUAAGUGGUGGAAAAUUUUAUUUUUUAUGUUAUUAAUCUUUUAACACAAGAAUCUCAUAACUUGUAUAAAGACAAGUGGUGUACUAUCCCGUGUUCCGAGCAUAUUGAAAAAAAUUUCAUCAUCAUGAAGACUACUAUUGAAAAACAACACCACAAAAAUAAAGCUAGAGAAUGUAAUUCAAUUUGAAGUAUUUUAAGCAAAAAAAAAAAAAAAUAUAUAUAUAUAUAUAUAUAUAUUAAUUAGCUGACAAUGAGAGAAAAAAGUGGAAUGUGGAGGGGGGGGGAGGGAGGUGACGCGCCCAACACAAGUUAGGUUAUAUAUAUAUAUAUAUUGUUCUUAUUAUUAAAUAAAUAAAUAAAGUUGAUGAAUGAUUUUUAAGUAAAAUGUAAAGAUUUAAAAAAAAAAAAUUAUUAGUUUUCCUAAAUUAUAAAAGCAUUCUACUUGUCCUCACAAUUGGUCACGACCAGCCACACAUCGUGGUCUUUCAAAUUUGAGCCCAUCUAAUUAAAUAAAAGUUGGGAGCCCACUUGGGUCAUUUAGGGUUUGCAAUAAGGAAAGGCCAUUGCAUAUCCUGCACCUGCACUACAUCGUCAUUCAUUCUUUCUCUCAACAACGUUAGCCUGCUUGUUUUUGCUUUAUUUUCAGCUUGCCAUCUCACACAUGGCAAUUUUCACUGACCAAAUUGUGGCGUCAACAAAGCUGAGAAUCUGGUGCAUUUUUAACUUGGUUUCUUCACAACCAUAAGACCAUAAGGGAUGUAAUUCAAAUACAACUUUUCACAUGUAAAUAUGUACAAUGAUCUGAUCUGAGUAAAAACAUUAUUAAAGACAAAAAUUGGGACGGAGGAGUAGAUCACACUUCAAAGUUACACUUUUAACAGUUUCAGGAUUUGAGCAGAAGAGAAGCUUACAAUGUAAAACCAGGUCAAGCUGUGAAAUGUCGGCCUAUUUUGAUUCAUUUGGUGAACUUAAAUCGCAACAGAGGGUGCCUGAAAUGUAAACCUCGGGUGUUGAUGAUUGCCUUCAUAUGUAACAACCAACAUGUUAGGAUCCUCCAAGCAUCGUUCGACAUGCUUUCGUGCAGGACAUCCUCGCACACAGCUGCAUUUGUAAUAACUCCUUUGAAACCAAAAGCAUGAUUGGACAGACAUAUCAGCUAAACCCUUGGCAAUGGUUAAGCAUAACAUUCAGAUUUUGUACUUAAUUGACCAUUAGUUGGUGAUAAAACAUCGAAUCUAUGCUUUACUAGCAGGACAAUGACAAGAUAUGCACGCAUACAUGAUAGAAGCGUAUGCAUGAUAGAAUUAAACAUAUAUAUACACAUCAAAUAAUCUUAACGCUGAGAUUGGAAACCGGUGCAGCUUAAUGGUUAGUGGUUAACUUGUAUGCAGUUUAGGAGACUUUUCGAAAUCUAUAUGGAAAUGAAAAUAAUAACAUAGAAAUACCUAGGAUAUGGAGACCCUUUGAUAGGCUUCUGCCCAUACUUCCUCCAAGAAUAGUCAUCAGGAGGUAUAUCAGCUAGCUUAUUGCUCACAGCCGGAACUCGUAUUCUUCUCUUUAUUCUCAGUUUCCUGUGAGGAUGAACAAACAUAAGAGAUUAGUAACCUUUAGCAAGCAACAAGAAAACAGCAAACAAAAAAAACCAAUUAUAAAAUUGUAUAAAAAACAACAAAAAGCAGUCAUGUAUAGGAUUGUAUUUUAAUUAGGACUGAAAUACCUUCUCUUUGAGCAAUGACAUCCACCGGUAGAGGCUAAACAUCUUGUACUGGCUUCUUCACACUUCUUUUUAGAAGAAAACAUAGAGUCGCUAUCUCGAGAAGCGAAGAGUUCAGACGAAGAAUAGUGAAUCAUCCACGUCUGCGUGUUAAUGCUACUUCCGUCCAUACUGAUCAAAGAAGUACUAGGCUUCUGUGAGAAUUGGUUCAAACCCAUGAUCAAAUUAUUAGGAAGAACCACACUGGUUUCACAGUGGCCUUGUUGCAAUGCCAGGCUCGGUUUUCGCUCUCUACCCAUGCUAAAGCCAUUACUGCGGAUCACAUUUGCAGCUACAUGAUCACUCUGAUGAGUAUUACUAAACAACUGUCUAAACCCUAAGCAAGGGUGAUGGGAUUCCAACAGUUCAACCUGGUUUAUGCCAUGGGAUUCGGGCAGUGGACCCCUUCUGAUCCUCUUCUGAUUUGAUAAGAUUGAUCCAUCAAGGAGAGUAAGCAGUUUGCGGAAUUCGUUUACUGCAUCUUGAGCAAACAGGCUUACUUCUUGAGCACUUCUCUUAUGCUUUUUCUCAGAGAUGCAACCAAAGAGGCGAUGGGCAUGCUUCAAACUGCUUUGAGCAACCUCAUGAAUUGUGAAAUCCAUUCCUGGGUUCCUUGAAAGACAGACACCUGAUUCCCUUUCCAUGAUUCAAUUGCAGAUUAAUAUUCAUGCAAAUUAUGCAAUCGCAACCUCAAUAUUCGGGCAUAUCAAUGUGACUCUGUGAUAAGGGUAAAAGCAACGUGGCAGAAACCACCCAAUGUAGUGUGAUGCUUUAGUGGAUAAAAUAUUCAUCAUCCACUUCAUCAGAUCUUUGGUUAUAUUUUGAAAUAAACAAGAGCUUGCUGCCCAGAUAGUCAAUGGUGCCUUAAGUUUCACAACCCACUAAGUCACUAACCAAUACAAUAUCUGACAAAUCUUACAUUGAUUGAGAGAGAGAGAGUGGAGUACAGGGAAGAAUGAUAAAUUGCAUGCUUCAUCUGUUUAAAAAUCAUAAAUUUUAAUAAUAAAUUGCAUGCUUCAUCUAUUUAAAAAUCAUAAAUCUCAAUAGGAUGUUGAAAAAAGUAUAUACUAAUACUUCGUCUUUACAGUGAUGACGUGCUAAUCAUAAAUGGGGGAACAAGUAAGUUCACACAUGAAAGAAUGCAAUCAUUUUUCAUCUAUAAGAUCAUAACUUAGUGUCGCUUAAAGUAUCGCCUUUUAAAAAUCUAAAAUUGACUAACAAAAUAAAAUGUUGUUUAAUCCAUUUUCAAUAUCUGGCUGCUAGAAAAAAUAGGAAAAUGAUUUUCACACUUUUUUUUCUUCCAUAUGUAAUCUGCACACUCCUAUUUAUUUCUUUCGCUUGAUUCUUCUUUGAUUAAUUCAACUCAAACGCAAAAAUAACCAUAAGUAUGCAAGGAAACAAAAUAAGUGAUAAAAAAAUCAAGAAACAAAUUAAGUAAUCAAAAUUCAUUUGUACAUGGAGGAAACCGAAGUUUGAACUUAUUCUAAAAUCUUAACUCAUUACGCUACUCUCUCCGUCCCUUAUAACCACAAAGGCUUCAAUUCUUUCCACACUCUCUCCCCUCUUUUAUCAGUCCUUAAUUCCAAACAAAAUUAAUCAACAAAAAGUAUCUGGAGGAAAACUAUUACAAAGUUUGUUUUCAAAAUUUGCAUAUGAAUUCAAUGUUAUUAUCUCAUAAUUUGCAUUUGUGAAUUGUGGGGCAUGUAGCAAAGAAGACGACGAAUAAGGAUUCGAUGACUUGAGUGAAGAGUUUGGUUUUAUGUAGCAUUAUUCGACUUACCCAUCAAUCUAUUCCCACUAAUUAACUAGCUUGAAGCAUGCUUGCUCCCAAAGGGUGGCAACUAGUCGCUUUGCCUCCACUCAUCACUUUACUGCAUCGUUUAUUAAUUUCACAGGAUUCUGUAUACUCAAAUUUUGGGGAUUUUUUUGUAUACAUAUUCGUUGGAUUGACUGUACAUUCAAUCAUUCAUCACUUUGACGCAUCUCCUACACUCGAGCAUAGUAAAAUUUUCGAAUUAUUGUAUCCAUAGAACUCAUUUGGUUGGGCUAAAUCUUCGGCCGAGUAUGCAACUACGAAUUCUACCAACUUGAAUGCUCAAACAAAACAAUCGCAAAAUCAAAGCGAACAAAAGCUGCAGAAACAUGUUUCAUAAGUCUACAUCUAAGUUCUUUUCUUCCAAAAUCUGUUCAUUACAUCGUCAAUUGUGUGGCCUAAUGUGCUCCUGAAGAAUCAGAAAAUUCUGUCUCUUCAUAGGGAAAGCAAUCGUUCUAGAAACCUUCUUUGGCUCUUGUAAGCUCAUCAAGCACGAGAAAAAACUAUAAAUGAUAACAAAUUCUGAAUCAUUAUUUUUGAAUUUCUGCGUGAGCACUUAUCCGGUUACCAAUACUAAUACUAAGAUCAGUACAUGAAUCAGACCACAGUCUCUGUCCUUCCCAACUUAAGCUUCUCAUAAAUUUCUUUUCCUCCGCGGAACAUAGUUGAGUCGCGAACGUUUGUUUUUGACAGGAGUACACCAGCUUUGAUAAUCAGCCACCUUGCCUCUUAGCUUUUUGUACUCUCUUGAUCUUAAAACUGUCUCCAUAAUGUUAAUAUCUUCACGAAUUUCGUGUCUGGAAAGAGAUGCCAGACCUGGAAGAAUGUCCCUCUGAAAAUCUUUCAUUCUCCUCCCUCUUCUCAACUUAACCCCAAAUUCCUUACUGUCAUUGUAAUUCACCUCAGAAGGCUUUAAUGACACGCAAUAGUCAUCUUCAGUGCUCUCUAUUAGAUUUAGUGUGAGUAACUCAUAAGAAUCAGAAGAACACUGCGGUUGUUCACUCCCCUUCGUUUCCAUCUUAUUUGCACCUCCUACUUCGUAAGUGCAAUCAUGACAACAUGAUGAACUCUCCAAUGAGAUUCUGACAAGUGCUUCAGCUGCUCUGAUCAAAACAUUCAGUUCAGCUGAAUCCCCUCCCUUGUCAAGGUCUUUGUGUUUUAAUUCACUGUUGUCAGAAGAUCUUCGGUCCUGCUCACCCAUUAAGGUUUCUGAAACUUGAGACCCUACAUGUGUUCCUGAAAACUGAUCAACGGAAAAGGGAUUUGAGGUUCCAUAUUCAAUUUCAGACUGCAUAGUCUUUACGCUUCUGGAAUCAUCUUCCCCAAUGCAGCAUGGUUUACAUGAAGCAGAAGAAAUAUUGCCAUGUCCAUCUGGAUCAACUUUUCGACAAUGAUCAGUAUAUGAAAAUACAGGGUCUUCUACUUUGUUGUUCUCACAAUUUACUUGUCUAGCAGAAGUGCACGAACUACUUCGACUGUUUAGGAGCUUUAUGACAAACCCGUUGUUUCCAUUACUGGAGUCAUUACUGUGGAAACCAACUGCUUCCUGGAGGUCUAUCUUCGAUCUAGGCGCAGCCUCCAAGCUUACAUUGCCCAUUCCACUUAUGCUUGAUCCAUCAACUUUGACGUUUCCAGCAUUGUAUUUUUGAAACCUUUCCAAAGUUUCAAUUGAGCCAUUAUUAUUUAGUUUUUUCCCAGUUUCGUAACAAUGAGUGCCCUCCUCUACCUUGCUAACUAAUCCGCGUAAAUGUGAAGAGCUAGCUGUUGAAAAAUGGGCUACUGUAUGAUCAUUUGAGAGACAAGAUGAAUCAUCAUUCUGAAUUUUGUUAAGGUCCAGUAGCCCUGUUUCAUAUGAACCGAAAUGCUGCCUUGUGGUGGAUGAAUUGUUAAUUGCAAUGCCACCAGAACGCUUUUCUAAUCCUGAAAAAAGAGACCAACACAAAUUCUAAAGUGUGCACAAGACUGAACCUUCAGAAACAACUCAAUGCCACGUAAAUAGUUGUGCACAGAAUAACUGAACCCAUACCUUGAUUGAAAGGAUUCCACUCACUGCCAUCUAAAUGAGGGUUACAAUCAGCAGCAUGAAAGAAUAUAUUUUUCUUCACACUACUCGAGAUGAUCGGAUCAAAGAGGACAGAAACUUCUGAAUUGUUUGUGCCCCUGGCGUUUGUUAUUGGAGCAGUACUGCUGAAGGAAGGUGACUGUUCCAAGCCCUCAUUUGAUGUCCUUUCAAUCGGUUCUUCUAAAUCAAUCAUGUGUUGCGAGCAGGAAUGAGUUUCUAAAUCAAACCAAAUCCUCUUAGUACCUCCCUCUUUCCUAUUGUCCUCUUGAAUGCUCAGGGAAAGCUUCAGCUCCGCUGGAUCUGCGACAUUAUCACAACAAAGAGAUCACCUAAGUUCCAGAGUUACUUUCAAGUGAUACCUUGUAUUAUUAUCCUUGGGGAGAUUCUUACCGAUAUAGCUAAUGCAUUGAUCUGUGUGAAGUUUAAGCUCAGGAUUCCUCGGCUGAAUCUUAUCAUCUACACCCUUGCACCGUUCUAACAAGUCCUGAAAUAUAGAUUGUGUAAAGCGAACUUCAAAGACAAGCACCAAAUCACCACACUAACACCAUAAAUAACAAGUAAUAUACAAUGAAACUAGGUUACUUAUCGACCCAUCUCUAAAGACUAGAUACUUCAUUUAUCUCUGCCUCAGGAUAGAUCUUGACCAAAUUAGUUGAUAAGUUUGUUACAAAGGCGAGACCAAAUUUCGGUCCAUAUAUUCUGCCUUAGACCUACUGCUAUCAGUCUGAAAAUACCACAUACACUGCAACGAAACAAACAAGGGCCGAGUGGGAGCACAAACUGUGGCUGCUUCCACUCCCCUUUAUCAUAAAACCACACUUACCAUAUGUUCGUCUCUUCCAUAAUUUCUCCGAGGUAAAAGAUUGAAGUCAGCACCAGCUAUGCUAUGAUUGUAUCUACCAAACUCCAUCCUGCCAAGGUUCUGCAUCAGUGUCUUCUGUAUCCUAUAUAGAUGAUGGAGUUCAUGAACCUGAAGGAAAAUCAGUAGCAAAAAUUAAAUGGAGUGGAAUCCAUUUUUUUCGCAUUUUCCCCCAUUUGUAUCUUAAACACGUGUAAGGCAACUUCAGUGCAGCCUACUUUGAGUAAACCCAAAAUUUCCAAUCUGCCAAAAUUAAGCAGUAAAAGUCUCACAUGUGCAAUUGAUACAAAUGUUGUUUUUUUUUCAAGCCUUACAUGACGUCAAUCAACGACAAGGUUUUCCCAAUGCAAAUUAUUUUAUACGAUAGCCAAUCAUACACAAACACAAGAUCUGUGGUCCUAAAUUAUUUCAGUCCAUGUCUAACUUUUAUCCUGGGAUUUAGAGUAUCCUAAUACCUGUUUUUUAAACAUAAUCUCCUGGCUGAGCAUAGUCUUCCUCACAACAUCGUCUAGAGAACUAGUGUAUGCUCGCAUUGAAUUCAGAUCAAGAUCUCCCCGCAUCAACAUUUUUUCUGUUUCUGAAAUUACAUCAAAUCAGAUUUUACAUCUUUGAACAUAACAGUAUUUAUAACCAAUUUCCACAACGUACUUCAUGCCUAGUCCCUACAAAACUCUGUUUAACUAAUUGCAAGUAAUAAGAAGUGGUUUCUACACUGGCAACCAAAACUUUGUUCUUUGCCGUUUGAAGGAAAGAGUUUGAAAAAUAUCUGUUGUAGUCUCUCUCACUUGCUAUUUUGCUAUGAUCUCACCCCCACCAACUGACUUUUUCUAGCGAUAAUCUGUUCUCCGCCAACUAUCGUUCCCUGUCCUCUCCUCUCCAGUACUCUCCUCUCCUCCAUAGUUUGACCAACACUAAUUAUUGCAAUUAAAAUUAUGUCACCGUAAUCAAUCCAAACGCAACUAAUUAUGAUUGCACUAAUUACAAUUAAUGGCUAAAUUGCCAGCUGCACAGUGAUUGACAAGUAAGUUUAAAAAUGUAAAACAAAAGGAAGGGUGUAUAAACAUCCAUUGAACCCGAGUAAACAAUUAAUGAGACCUCUGUCAUCCUAAUUGCAACUGUCGUAACCUGUCUAAUUCUCUUCUACGCUUGUGUGGAAUUCGUUCCCCACAAAGACACAAGGUUUACGAAAGUAUCACUCUUAGGGAUGGACAAAUAUCCAUUGGUUAUGGGUAACCGCGGUUACCCACCCAUUUAAAUUAAACGGUUACGGUUAUGGGUGACCGUUGAGAUAAAUAAACAGUUAUGGGUAUAACCGUUUACCCGCGAAAUUUAAAUGAACGGUUAUGGGUAUUAACCACUGUUAUAAACGGGUAACCGUUUACCCAUUUAUUUUAUAUAUGUAAAAUUAACACAAACCAUGUUCUCGAUCCAAUAAUACUUAGCACCCAAUAAAUUAGCAAGGAAUUCAUCUGUCAUUCUCUCAAUAACACUACUACAAGAAUGAUGAUUUUCAUCAUCAAGGAAUUGGCCAAAUUAAUUUAAAUUCCUUGUGGGUAACCGUGAAAUUGACAGAAAUGCUUUGACAGAAAUGUCUUCUAAAUGAUUUUUGUAACCCAAUAAUACUUAGCAAAUAUUAUAUUUACCUUCAUUUGUAACAAUUAAAAAUAUCAUCUGUAAACUAUUAUUUCAAUUAUUGAAAUGGUAUAAGGACUUAAAAAAUUAAAAUUUGGAAAUGUAUGAUGAAUGUACCUAUAAUGGUGUUUAAUUGUCAAAAAAAAAAUUAUGACAAUUUUUUUUUAAUUUUUAAGUUGUUAAAAAACAUGUAGACGGGUGAAAAAAUGGUAAUGGUAAAAAAAAAAAGAUAAACGGGUUAAAAAGGAUAAAUGGGUAAAUGGGUAUUAAACGGUUACGAUUAAAUGGGUAUGCAAUUAUGAGUAUGAGUAUAACCGUUUAAGCAAUUACCCAACGUUUAGUAAACGGUUAUGCGGGUAUGAGUAUAAACGGUUAUGGGUAAAUUAACCGCGAUUACCCGUCCGCAUAACCAUUGCCCAUCCCUAAUCACUCUUGAUGAGACAAUACCCUAAGUUGUGAGACAAGUUAAUAUGAUGUUCUUUUUUUCAUUUCUCGUAUUUGGGGAAAUCUAGGAAAUGGUUUUGUGAAUAAUUACGAACAUGGGCCAUGGAAGUUGUUUUACAACCAAACUUCUUCAAAGUAAAGGUAGUAUUACUAUUAAUGCAUCAAACUAUUAGUUUCCUGUAAUUAAAAAGAGAACCCAAAAGGUCAUUACUUUUACUCAACACAUUCAUUCAACACCCAACCACUGCAAAAUAAUUCAAGCAACAGAAAUCCCAUAUCGCAAAUUGUCUAUAUAUGACAACCGAAAUUCCAAAAAACACAUCUUCCUGCAAAUUUUGGAAAUGUAGAGAAAGAAAGAGAGAGAAUACCAAGGUGAAGAAAUAUCUGCUUCUGCUUCUUCUUCUCCUUCUCCUUCACUAAAUUCUCAUUUUCUCCAACAUAUCUAAGGGACUGUAAUCCAGAAACAAUGCUGCCUGCCAAUGAUUCCACAUGUGAAGGGGGGGAGAGAGAGAGAAAGAGAGGAGAGAGAAUCGGAUCACACUGGGGUCAUCAAAGGACUGAAGGUGGGAAAGAUACUUCUGUCCACAGAGAUAGGAGAGAGAGAGAGUAGCGAGUAGCAAGCGCAGGAAGGGCGCGUACGGGAUCACGUAUCCGUUGUUCCCACAACCCAAAUCAUCCUCUCCUUUCUCCUCUCUCUCUCUCGGUCGUUGGGAUUCCUUUCUUCUCUCUCUUAUUUUUCUCCCUCUCUACGUCUCUCUCUGGAGUCUGGACUUAGAUUUCUCUUUUAAGGAGGAGCUGUCACUUGUCAGACGAGCUUCUGCUGGGACAGUUUCAACGGCAAAAGUUCUGAUGACACUUGUGCAUCUUCCUCAUUACUUGUUUUACCUUCUUAUCCCUCAUACUAUGUCCCAGAUUACACUUUUGUCCUUGCUUCAUAAUGAAAUUUUUUAUUUUAUACGUUAUAUUUAGGGUGGGAGAUCUGAAACCAAUUGACGGAGUAUAGCUUAAUGUUUCUCACAUGCAACUAUAAAAUCAUUAUUAGACUGUAGCAUUGAGGGGGUGUUUGAUAAUGGAAAUGAUGUAUACCUUACAUGCCAAUUUGUGAUAAGUGAGCAUGUCAUAAGACUAUGAUUGGGUUUUCUACUAUUUUGAAUACACUUUGGGGGAUUUGAGUAGCCAAUCGAUCAACACAAUGUAACCAAUUAACCAACUAUUCACAUCUCGUAAAUUUUUUAUAAUAUUUGUUAUGCAAUAAAGAAUUUUGGGUAAAUUACAUAAAACUACUUUAACUUUUAGGUCAGUCACAGUUUCAUACCCCGUCUUUAAAAACUUCAAUGUCAUACCUUAUCUUCGAAUUUGUUGCACUGUCAUACCUUCCGUCAGUUGUUUGUCAAUUCCUCUGUUAAAUGCUGACGUGGCUUGAGGCAGGGCCCACUUUGUCACAUCUCGACUCUGUCGUAGCACGAUAUUGUUCGCUUUGGGCCAAGCCCUCACGAAUUUGUUCCUAGGCAAGAGAACCUCACUACCCAAAAUGCGUCAUGCUAGGAAAAGAGGGUCAUGUACAUAUAAGGUCAGGGACCAACCCCCACCCCGCUUAUGUGGGAUACUAUAAUCCACCCCUUUAAGGAGACCAAAGUCCUCGUCAACACAUCUGAACGGACGCUGAGUCUGGCUCUGAUAUCAAAUUGUCACAUUCUGAUUCCGCCGUAGCACGAUAUUGUCCACUUUGAGCCAAGCCCUCACGAAUUUGUUCCUGGGCAACAGAACCUCACUACCCAAAACACGUCAUGCUAGGAAGAGAGGGGCAUGUACAUAUAAAGCCAGGGACCAACCCCCACCCUGCCGAUGUGGGAUACUACAUACUUUCUAUUAAAAAAUUAAUAAAAUAUUAAAAAAAUAAUAAUUUACCCUUAAAAAAAAUAAUAAACACCCAAAUAUCCAUCUUCCCCGACCCCUUGCCAUUCCCUGCAACCCAAAUCCAAAACCACUCCACCCAUGCCAAACCCUAAAACCUAAACCCCAAACCCUAAACCCUAAAUAAUUACCCUUAAAAAAAUAAAAAAUAAAAACCCAAACACCAAUUUUCCCCGACCUCUUCCCCUUCCCUGCAACCCAAAUCCAAAACCACCCCAAACCCAGAUCCCACCCACGCCAACAUCUCCCCCCAGACCCACAUCCUCAUUCUCUGCCGCUGCCACGUCAUCCUCCUCCUCCUUCUCCUAUCCAACCCCCAAACCCAAAUCCUCAAACCCUAAUUGCACCGUCUGCUGCAAGCACUCGUUGUCGCCCACCCUUGACCUCCUCAUCCUCAUUCUCCUCAUUUUCUCAGGGACCUUCCUCAUCACCUCCUACUUUUCCUACAUCUUCAACUCCCCUUCGACCUCCUCAUCCUCAUUCUUGUCCUCUUCAUGUCGUCUUGCUGUUUUGGAAGCAAUGCGGAUGCUCGGUGGCCAAGCUCGAAAGCUUGGGGGUUGGAUAGGAGGAGGAUGACGAUGAUGUGGCAACAACAGAGAAUGAGGAGGUGGGUCUGGGGAGGGGGGGAUAUGUUGGCGUGGGUGGGAGUGGUUUUGGAUUUGGGUUGCAGGGAAGGGGAAAGGGUCGGGGAAGAUGGGUGUUUGGGUGUUUUUUUUAAGGGUAAAUUAUUAUAUUUUAGUAUUUUAUUAAUUUUUUAAUAGAAAGUGGGCCCCGACUCAAGCCAUAUCAGCAUUAAACAGAAGAAUUGACAAAGAACUGACGGAAGAUAAGGUAUGACAUUGCAACAAACUCGAAGAUAAGGUAUAACAUUGAAAAUUUUUAAAGAUGGGGAAUGAAGCUGUGACUGACCCAAUAAUUGAGGUAGUUUUAUGUAAUUUACCCAAAAAAAUUUUACAUCAUAAUUAGGUAAUAUUUUGUUUGAAGAUUUUUUUUAUAAUCAGUCGAUCAAAUGUGUGUGAGUGAUUUCCUUAACUUUAAUUAAUAAAUAAGACAUUUUAACUCACCAAAAUAUUUUUGGGUAAAUUAUGGUUGGGCAAGUAAGAUUAGAAAUUUAGCACCUUCUUUAACAAAAAAUAUAAAAAAAAGUUGCUUGUUUCUUAACAAAAAUUAGCCAUUGCAGAUAAGAGUACCAGUAAGUUGAAGUUUGAGAAUAGUGGUAGUAUCGUAAUUAAGUUGAAGUUUAGUGACAUCAACAACUAUUUUUUCACAAAACCAACAAAAUUGUCACUGUACUUGCAUCUUGCCACAUGCACAAUAUGGUUGGUGUGGUGUAAUUAAAGUAACAGCACGCAAUGUAAGUCAUAAUGAAUUAUUGAAGAGGAAAGUCAUAAUGAAUUGUGUUACCUUUCCGAUAUGGAUAUUCAUGUAUUCUUCAACAUAAAUUAAAUGCAAAGGAAAAACGUUAUUCCAUCCAAUUCACUACGCUUAACCGCUUAGGUCGUUUCAAAAGUGGAAUUGACAAGAAUAACUGUCAUAACCCAUCUCGAAUUAUUAUUAUCGGUGAUGUAAAAUGGCGGUUUUAUCCUUGGAUAUUGAAAUUUUAGUGUGUGUGAGACUUAUUUUGGAGACUUAGAUGUUUAUUUUCUUGGUUGGGUGGUGACCACAUGGAGCUCACACACAACACACGCACCCUCUUUCUUCUCUCCUGUGCUCUCUCGUCUCUCGGACUCUCUCUCUUUCCCUCACGUACGGACAAGCAACAAAGCUUACACUCAUGCACGGAUCGACGUUCUAAAGGUGAGAUUCUCGUUCCUUGCAAGCCCCUAAGUACAUCUAUACUAUUCUUAGGACUUGAAACCGUGAAAAACCCGAGAAACCCUAACCCUGAUUUUGUGCAUUGUUCAUGCACACGUAAAACCUUGUGUUUCAGGGAAUUUUAAGGACAUAGGAAGCUUUAGGACGUCCUUGUGAGGCUCGGAGAAGAAAAAUGGAGUGAAUUGGACGUCGGAGGACUGAGAUCGAAGCACUACAAGUUUGGUAGGAAUUAUUGAGCUUACUCAGGCAUGAUUCAGUGGUUUUCGAGGCUUCAAACAGGUAUAACGUCGUUCCUCUCAUCUCCAGCUUUCCAAUGGUUCAAGUUUCAUGAAAAAUGGUGAAGAAACGAAGGAGAAUAAGCGUUUUAAAGUUUUACCCAGUUUCCGGCGCCGGCGACGGUCGCUGAAGGUUCAAGAUUAAGGAUGAUGGAAUAUUCCGUCAAGUUUGACGAAAUAUUCCACGGCGUGAGUUAAAUUUAACAGAUUCCGUUAGUAUUUGACGGAAUAUUCCUGACGGCGUUGACUGAUGCUGUCAGUAUGCCUAUCACGUGGCCGCGCAUGGGGGCGCGUAUUGCCGGGCCUUGGCCGGCCCAUGGCGGGGCGUGGGUGGUCAAAAAAUUAUUCUAAAAAUAUGGGGAUGUUUGUGGAGUUGUGUAGGUCACUGUGGAAUAUUCAAAUACCAAAAUUGAGCAUUGUAUGAGAAGUUAUUAGCUAGUUUUGCCUAUGUGCUUUAAAUAACGUUUUUAUAGUUAAUUCGCAUCUAGGUGAGACUUAUCCCGAGGACGAGUGUGUUCAAGGACGACUCGGGGGCUACGACCCUUCGACAUACCAGUGAGUGGGCUUUUGGUUUUCAGUAUAUAUUUAUAUACUUGAUAUUUUCCCAGAAAUAUGUGUUGAAAUGAAAAUAUGCCGUAAAUGCCAUGCAUAUAAGUAUAAUUCGUAUAUGAAUUGGUAUAUGAUGCUUUAUAUAUAUAUAUAUAUAUAUAUAUAUAUAUAUAUAUAUAUAUAUAUAUAUAUAUAUAUAUAUAUGUGCUGUGGACGCUCAGGGUUGUUUUGUCGCUCAAUAAGCACAACAAUUUGAAUAAAAAAGUCAAAGACAAAGAUUUAUACCUUUGUUUUCUGAGAUUUGUGCUCAGAUCCUUGCCAAUAUUAGAUGCAUGCACAUAAAUAUCGAAGUCUAUAAGAACAUGAAACAAAGAAAUGAGAUGCACAAGGAGAAAUAAAAUACAAAGUAACAACUUCAAUCUGAACAAUCGAGACGGUGAAUUUUCGAUCGCAUCUGUUGUCCUUGCUCAGAAGAUCUGCAACAAAAGCCAAAAUGCAUCAUUUUAGAUGCUAAUUCCGCUCAAUCGAGAGAAGAAAAAAGAGUAGAAAGAUCGCAGAGACAAAGAGAGAGAGAGUGAAAACAAUUGCUUAACUUUGGCUUUUUUUUGCCAAUGGUGAAAACUCCAGGUCCCUUUCUCAUCUUUGCAGAAGAGAGACAUAGUGACAAAUUUUGGGAGAGGGAGUGACAAAAUCAUACCAUUUUGCAUGUCGGAGAUCCCUUGCAAUUUUGAUAGAGAUGGAGACGGCUCAAAAUUAAGUUUGGGGCUCAGAUAUGUGGUUUUUUCAUAGUGGCAAAGACAGAGAUGAAGCUGCGAUUAGGGAUGGGCAAUGGUUAUGGCGGGCGGGUAACCACGGUUAUUUAUCCAUAACCGUUUAUUCUCAUACUGUAUAACCGUUUACCUGUUGGGUAAUUGCCUAAACGGUUAUACCCAUACCCAUAACCAUUUAUAAAUGGUUAACCAUACCCAUAACCGUGUACUCAUUUAACCGUAACCGUUUAGUACCCGUUUACCCAUUUAUCAUUUUUUAACUCGUUUAUCUUUUCUUUUUUACCAUUUACUCAUUUUUCAUCUGUCUAUGUGUUUUUUUAACAACUUGAAAAUUAAAAAAGAAAAAUUUGUCAUAAUUUUCUUUUUCUAACAAUUAAACAUCGUUAUAGGUACAUUCAUCGUACAUUUCCGCAUUUUAAUUUUUUAAGUCCUUAUACCAUUCCAAUCAUUGAAAUAAUAGUUUACAGAUGAUAUUUUUAAUUGUUAACAAUUAAGGUAAUAUAAAAUUUGCUAAGUAUUCUUGGGUUACGAAAAUUGUUAAAAAACAGUAUUCUUGGGUUAUUUAACUCGGAAUGUAAAGUAUUAACAUAAUAUAUAUAUAUAUAUAAUGGACCAUGAAAUUCAAAGUGGUUAAGGAAAACUAUAUUACAUUAGCUACAGAAAUCAUGCAUUAUAGUCAAUAGUAUUGAUCAAACCUUCCAUUUUUCUUUCUAAACGGAAGGUUUUGAAUGGGCGGUUACCCGUUUAUAACUGCGGUUAAUACUCAUAACCGCCCAUUUAAAUUUCCCAUAACCAUUUAUUUAUCUAAACGGUUACCCAUAAUCGUAACCGUGAAAUUUAAAUGGGCGGGUAACCGCGGUUACCCAUAACCGAUGGGUAUUUUCCCAUCCCUAGCUGUGAUGUGAGAUUAGAAAGAAAAAUGGAAGGUUUUGAAUGCCAGGGAGAAGGGUUUAGGAGCUGCGAUGCGCGAUAGAAAGAAAAAUGGAAUGUCUUGAAUGCCAGGAAGAAAUGGGGGAGAAAGAGAAUAGCAGAGAGAUCCAUAAAUGAAGGGAGAUAUUAGACGGACGUAGGCUUUGCCGUCAGGGACAAAAUCGGAAAGUCAAUAUUUGGGCCAUUUUAAUUGGACUGAUUUAACGUUGGGCCUUAUCCUAACCAUUAAAUAAAGUAACUACAUGGUUUUUUUUUGUUAACAUUCAAAAUUUUCAAAUCUUUUUCAUUAUUUUUUUAAAAAAUAGUUUAUUAAAAAAAUCUGGAACAUCAAAUGUGUUUGAUAAAAAAAUAAAAAAAUAAAAAGAAGUGUUUUUUAAGAAUAAUUUUUUUUUUCUAUCAAUGAUAGUAGAAAAACAUUGAAAGUAGAAGCAGGGUCUACCAUGCUUCUAAAAAAAUGUUUUUUUUUUCAAAGCAUAGUAAUCCUUUCUCAUUUAAUUUAAUGAAAUUUUCAAUGAUACAAAAUUACUCAUUACACCUACAUUAUUCUUUUUAACAAUUAUUAUAUCACAUUAAAUAUCAUAUUAUUUUUAGUCAUUUAACAUAUUUACAUUAAUUUAUAUAAAAGUUUACCAAACACUCAGACACUUUUACAAAAAAAAUGUUUACCAAACACUUAAUAACUUUAUUUUACUGUUGUUUAUUCUUACAAUACAACAGAAGCAAUUUUUCAAAAAAAUGCAGCAAUACCAAACUAGCUUUAUGUAAGUUGUUUUACCUUCAAAUGCAUGAAUUAUUUAUUUCUUAUAUUAUUUACAAGGCGUCGUUAUAUGAAACAAAAGCCCCUUUUGGAUGUCCAUGGUUCUGAAAUUAUUUUCGUAUAUAUAGCUGGAGGAUGGACUUUGCUCUUGGAAUCAUGCUAGAAGAGGACACGUAUCGUGGUCAACAGUCUCAAGCUAAAAGCAAGUGAUCAAAUGUGCUAGAGGAUAAAAUUUGUUUUAUCAACUAAUUGCGUAAUUGCCUCAAACUUUCUCUAUUCUUUUAGUCUAGCUAAAAGUAAUAAUAUAUAAUUAUAAUUAAAAAAGAAACCUCAACCAUUCAACAAAUUUGAAUAAUUAACUUAGAACUAAAUAUUUUGUUUUUAACUUGCCACUUAGUACUAUGGUUUAAUGGUAUUCAUUUUUACUUGUAAAUAAGAGGUAUUAGGUCUGAUUCUUGUCAAAGACAAAUUUGAACCACAUUAUUGCUACCUCAUUGUAAAGCUUAACCCACAUCAUUUUUUUUAGCAUAAAUAAUAUCGUUUGUUAAAAAAAAUUAUUUUUAAUUUGAAAAUAGUGGUUCAUCAGAUGUGAAUGGAUGACUUUUUCCAGCAAAACAAAGGCAGAGAAUGCUGAUUGUUACUGUGACCAACCUAGACUAACCCACAAUAACCCUAUAUUUUCUGUCACACUGUACAUUCAUCUACUUCUUUUAGAAGAAAAAAAGUGCAUUUAUAUUCUUUUUUUCUUCCUCUUUAAAAAGAUACAAAGGUUGGCAAGCUAUAAAUCCACCCCUUUUAGGACUUAAGAGGCUAUGGGAAAUUUUACUAUGCCCGUCGUCAUAGUCAAACAGACUCACCAACUUGGAAUAUCGAACCUGGAAGCUCCCACAUUUUCUAUGUCUUUUUGAGGAAUUGUAGUCUGCGCUUUUAUUACUGGGCCACUUACUGUGGUCAAAAAUACAUUUAUAUUCACAAAAAUAAAAUUAAAAAAAUUCAGCACGUGCCACACAUUUAGUAUAGGCAAUUAUUGUGACGCAAUUUUAUUUUUCUUUGUUAUAAAAAGGCAGCUAACUUUGUUAAAAAAACAAAAGGCAGCUAACUGAUUCUUUAACCCAAUAGAUGUGAAUAACCAAGUGAGGUCAAUGAUUAAGAUUCAUAUAGCCUAACAACUUGGACUGAUUUUUUUUUUUUUAAAUUUUACUAUUAUUAAGAGGAAGAAAGAGUUCAAAAAUAUUAGUUACAAUAAUUUAGGGAAGUGAGAAGUUUCGAACCUGCGAUACAUGGAUAGAAACUCAAUACCUUUUUUUAAAUGUGUGGUCUUACAUCCCUUACCUUCUUAAACUAGGAAGAUCCUAAGUUUAUAUAUGCUUGGUCAUUUUUUUGACCACACCAAUCCAAGACAUUACGGAUUUGAAAAUGUUAUUCUUGUAAAUGUCGUUUUGCAAACAUUCAAAUGGCUGAGUGUAACAAAAUUGGUUAGAAUAGUAUAACUCUUUUAAUAUUAAAUUAUGCUGAAGAAUACAAGAAUUUCAAUAUUAAAAAGUUAACAAAAUUAAUUAUGAUUUAUAUUAAGUGCUUGCAAUAUUUCUUUUAAAAUGUUAUUGACACACCCCGACCGAGAUCAAGACAUGUUGACCGUCACGUGAGGGUGACGUAGCCAUGUGCACAGUGCGGAAGCAAUGAAGAUAAGAAUUAUAUGAAUAGUUAAAAACCGAAACUACUAGAGUGCACUACUAAACAGAAAGUGUUAGGAGUAAGAUACAAAAGUAAAUACUCAUAAUCAGAGCAUAUAAAGUCUAGGUGCAGUCCAGUAAGACAAGUACUAAUUAUAUAGUACCAUAAGACGUCCUACAAUUAUUUAGAUAGGUCAGAACCGCUGAAGUCCUCGCACCCAGCAACUGCAAACUUACCUAAAACCUGGAGGGGCGCAAAACAGAAAAUGUGAGUGGGCAAAAACAAAUGUUUUACAAAACCAUUUCAUUUAUCAACAUAUCUAACCCCUCGCUGUAAAACAUGUAUAAUUUUUCCCAUAAUCAAGAUAUAUGCAUAUACAUAAAUAUAUAUGAAAUUAUAUCAAUUCAAAUCAUGCUUCACAUAAUCAUAAUCAUAUGUAUGCCAUGCCAAGAUAUAACAGAGUAAGCAAUUCAGGUAAUAAUAAUUUCAUAUAAAUAUAACAUGUUAGCUGGAACCCCUGUAGUUGUCUGUACGGCUGAAUUCAUAACUCAAAGUCAAUCUAGUCAGAGUCACUACAAUGACAUAUACGGCAACAUACUGCACAAGAGUCGGAACCAAGGGAAAAUGUCUGUACGACAAUAAUGGGUGUGAUAUAAUUAUGCUCAAUACUACUCUCACAUAAUAGCUAGGCGAUAAAUCGCUAGUCACCUACGAGUCGGAACCAUAAAUAAGGUCUGUACGACAAGACUGUGCACCUAAAUGGAUCCAAUAUGAGCAUAUGGUGCGGGAGGUGACAUAAUAAACAGGCAUGUGUCAUAACUCUAGCUAAAUCACAAUCACCCUAGGUGUAGUCUUAUGAGCUCAACAUUAUUCAAUCACAUAUCACAUAAUUGACAAUUCACAUAACCAAACAUAACUCACCUAAGCUUAUUGAGCGACAAAACAACCAAUUUUUUGAUAUAUUUGUAUGUAUAGUUUAUGAAUUGGGCAUGAAAAUUUAUUUGGGUGAAUUUGAAUUCUGCAUAUAAAUUGUUUGUUUAGAUUAAUUUGUUGUCCGGAGCUGAAACUUACCUUGCCGCGAUUUAUCUAUUUCUAUUGACCUUUCGCUUUUGCGAAAAUAUAAAUGAUAGUAUUCAUUUAAUUACCUUGCCGUGAUUUAGUUGCACCUCUAAAGACCUAUCUGCCUGAUGGAGAUAUUGAUUUGAUUGCUUUGGGUGGUAUGAAUGUUGAGGAGGCACUGGGCAAUGACAUCUGCAUUGUCCUUGAAAUGGAAUAUCAAAAUAUGGUUGCUGAGUUUAUGGUGAAAGAUGUCCAAUGGAUUCGGGCAGAGGUUUUUAGCUUUUGCCUCUUAAUUUUAUUAGAUUGAUGAUAGUUAUAAGUCACAAUUUAGUGUUAAUGCUACCAUCUAUGUCUAGUAAAGUUUUUGUGUUGAGUUUAUGUUGUGUAACUUGCAUUUCCCUUGAAUUAAAUUAUUACGUGCGUGUCUAUGUCAUUAGUCAUUAUUUUGAUUCUAUCUCAAAAAACUUUUGAUUUUCCUCUGUAAAGACUAUUUGUUUUUGUUGUGGCAAGUCAAGCUUGUAAAGUUGCCUUGUGCAAAAUAUUCGGGUCGAUAUUUCCUUCAAUCAGUUAGGAGAGCUAUGUACGAUGUGCUUCCAUGCGCAGGUAGUCAUUCACACAGGGCUAAAUUGAAAAUGAAGUUCAAUUUGUCACAUAUGAAUUGAAUGAUUUACCAGAUUUCAUUCAUAUAAUCGGAUUCUUUUAUGGAAGCUCUGAGUUGUCCAAUGAAACUUGUUUUUCAAGUCUUUUGUUGAAAGUAUAUGCUGACUUAUGCCUUUUCAAUUAGUAGUACUUUGUGGAGUGGUGACUCCACCCACUUUUGUCCUUUUUAAGUCAUAGUUUUACUUUGAUCUUAUGGUAUGGUUUUGGUGAUCUGAGUGGUUUGUGAUUUUUUGGAAUUUAUGUCCCUUGUUAUUUGGCUUCCCUAAACAUAUCCAUGGUGCUUCUUAUUGCAUGGGUUGAUCACCUCAUUGGCAAAGAUCAUCUUUUCAAACGCAGUAGCAUACUAAUUAAGGCAAAAUGCUAUUAUGGGAGUCGAAUUCUUGGUGCCAUCAUGUUUUGAUUUCAACAUAUGCUUUGGAGACUUUGAUUUUGUAUAUUUUCCAUCUCUUCCAUUCAUCUUAGAAUGGUCCUCUAGUGGUCAGUGCUUUAAUGCUUUAGCACUAGCAAACUAAACUGAAUCAAAUUUGUUUGUUUUUUAUUUUUCUGCUUGGUUGAUGAGAGAUGAUGAAAAAGUUGGUACUGAAAUUUGUGUGAAUUAGUGUAUGUUGAUUGGCACUUUGAUGGAAUUUGAUCUGACAAUACAUGUUGCAGUGGAGCGGGCCCAGGAUGUGGUGGACCCGGUUGUAACAUCCCACAUCGCCCAGGGGAGUGAUCCUUAAAUGUAUAUUCUCAUCCACCUAGCACGAGGCUUUUUGGGAGCUCACUAGCUUCGGGUUCCGUCAGAAAUCCAAAGUUAAGCAAGAAGGUGGCCAGAACACUUCCAUGAUGGGUGACCCACUGGGAAGUUGCUCGUGAGUUCCCAGAAACAAAACCGUGAGGGAAUGGUAAGCCCAAAGCAGACAAUAUCAUGCUACGGUGGUGGACCCGGGUCGGGAUGUGACAAAUGGUAUCAGAGCCUAUCCUUGGCCGGAAGUGUGCCGACGAGGACAUCGGGCUCCUAAGGGGGGUGGAUUGUAAUAUCCCACAUCGCCCAGGGGAAUUAUCUUUAAAUGUAUAUUCUCAUCCCUACCUAGCACGAGGCUUUUUGGGAGCUCACUGGCUUUGAGUUCUUUAAGAACUCCAAAGUUAAGCGAGAAGGUCGCCAGAGCACUUCCAUGAUGGGUGACCCACUGAGAAGUUGCUCGUGAGUUCUCAGAAACAAAACCGUGAGGGAAUGUAAGCCCAAAGCGGACAAUAUCGUGCUACGGUGGUGGAACAGGCCAAGGAUGUGGUGGACCCAGGCCGGGAUGUGACACACACUAUUUCUGAAAACUGAACCAAAAUAACUCAUAUUAUUUCUGGAAGGGAACAAAAUAAAUAUUAUUUCUGGAACUAUAACAAGAUAACCACUUUUUAUGAAACUGAACCAAAAUAAUUGAUAUUAUUUAUGGAAGGGAACAAAAUAAACAUUAGUUCUGGAACUACAGCAAAAUAACCACAGUAUUUAUGAAACUGAAUCAAAAUAACCCACAUUAUUUCUUGAACUGCUGUAAAAUAACCCACACUAUUUAUGGAACUUUAGCAAAAUAAUCCACACUAUUUCUGAAACUGAACAAAAAUAACACACAUUAUUUCUGGAACUACGGUAAAAUAACCCACACUAUUUCUGAAUCUACAGCAAAAUAACACAUUAUUUCUAAAACUGAAUCAAAAUAACUCACAUUGUUUAUGGAAGUGAACAAAAUAAACAUUAUUCAAGAACUACAUAAAUAUACCCAACACUAUUUCUGAAAUUGAACCAAAAUAACUCAAGUUGUUUUUGGAAGGGACAAAAUAAACAUUAUUUCUAAAAUUACAGCAAAAUAUCCAACACAACUUUUUGAAACUACAAUACUAAUACUACUAGUAUUCAGUUUGAGAAAUAGUCAUUGUUCAGUUAUAAGAAUAGUUAGUGUUUAUUUCUAGAAAUAGUGAUAGUGUCAGUGCUCAAUUUUAAAAAUAAUGUUAAUGUUCAGUUCUAGAAAUAAUGUUCAGUUUGAAGAUUUUACAUUUUGGAGAUUUUUCAUGUGUUUAUAAUGGUAUCAAAGAUCUCUGCUUGUAGGAAUCUAGAAAUAUAUAAUUUAAUAAUGAUCCUUAUAAUUAACAAUGUUUGACCUUAAUUAAUCAUACCUAUACAAUGAUCACACAAGGGUUUCAUAAGUUGAUAAUGAGGAGCCUAAAAUAAUUCCAAAAAUCUUAGAGGCGACACGUGGACUUUUGCUUAAGAAUGACAAGAUUGCCCUCAAUAAAUAGGCAAGUGUCUCAGAUGCUCCCUUGCCCAGCUCACACCCCUGAAGGUCCCAACAGCUGAAUACGACUGCCCAUAACACACCUACCCUUGGCAACGAAAAGUCAAGGCAUUAAAUAUCAGGAUUAAUUACCCAAAUCCUAUCUUUAAUAGAUUCCCAACUGAAGAGUGACUCCAAUCAAAUAAGUAAUCCCAAUUUAAAUCAAUUAGGGAUAAUUACUCCAUUAUCUCAAGAUAUUAUUUCCUAUUUAAUAUCUUGAGAAUAUUUAUCCAUAAACCUUGGCCAAUAGGAUGUUGCCACGUGUAGGGUAAAACCCUAACAUCAUGCCAGACCCUAUCCCUAUAAAUACACUAUAUUCUGCCAAUUUGCAGAAACUUUUGAUACCCCCUAAAUAGCCUAUAAACUGACUUAGGCAUCGGAGUUCCAUUGGCCUAAACCCCCCCCCCCACCUCAACCACCUUGUGGGCGCGUGAGGCUUAGGUCUUUGAUCAAAAGUGUUGAUUGUUUUGUAGGUACAUUUUCGUCAAGAUUGAAGACAACAAAAAUUUGCAUCGGCAGAUAACACCAUGGAUCACACAAAGUAUGAUUAAUAAUUGAUCUUAUUUCUUGAUUAUUCUAUUGGAUUUGCAAUGACGAAGAAGGUUUAAAUGCAUUAUAAAAGAGAUAAUUGCAGCAUGAUUGAAAACAUGCUCAUCACGUGAUUGGGGUCCUAAUUUUUCUAGGUUGUUGUAGGCUUCCUCUUCCUUAUAGAAUAUUUUGUUCAACAAUCCCAAACAAAAACAAUUAUUUGAUUUGUUUCAGUUAACAUAUGAGUGGCUUAAUUAAGAACUUGCUUUUGUUGUAGAAGUUUGGACUAUACUAGUGAAUGUGCAAUGUGAUACACUUGGUGAAAUUAUAUGUCAUUUUCCAAUCUAAAGUUCAUUAUUUUGUAGUGAUUUUAGGAAUUUAAUUUUUGUAAUUUAUUUGAUUGGGAGGCGAGGUGAGGAAUUGGAGAUAUUUAAUUAUGUUAGGGGUUAAUUGGUAUCCUCCAGCAAAAGUUUUUUUUUGUUUUUUAACAAAUCCUCUAGAAAAUUUUAAAAUUAUUUUAAAAUUUUUAUGUGGUUUUUGUGCUUUAAUGAGGCAAUGUCAUAUUUGUAAAUAAAUGAAAGUUUAAUUCUAACAAAAGUGGGCUGACGGAUGUCAGGGGCAUGGAUGGAAAAGGAAUUUCUUAUUUUGCACGUGAGGCUUCAUGGUUUUGGUUGUUCUUUCUAGUUUUUGUCCUUUUCAUUAAAGAUUAAGUUAUUUUUAUUAAAUAAAGUUAAUAAAUAGUUUUUUGUUAAUAAAAAGUUUGGAAAAUCCUUUUUCAUUUCCUUUUUUAAAAGCAUCACAAUCCCAAAAAUAUACUAUCAUAUUACAUUUCGUGCUAAUUAAACAAAGACACGUGAAUAAAUUUACACAUAUAUUUAUUUUAUAAGCACAGAACUCUAUGACAAUGUACCAGUAUUGUAUAAGACAUUUCCAAAGUACAAAGGAGAAUAUAUAUAUAUAUAAAGAAAUCUUAUGUUGGCCUUUUCCUCUUUCGGUAUAGGUUGAUAGACAUUUCGCUUUUUAAUGUAGGUCAAUUGAAAAAAUUUGUCUUUAAUUAUGGUAAAAAAAAAUAAGUUUUUUGUCCAAUUAAAGUUAAUAUUACUUGAUAAAAUUGAUCUUUAUUGACCUCCUUUCAGUUGUAAGUCAAAUGUUCAAAUAGUGUGAAUAGAGUGCAGUAUCUAUUUCUAUUCCUCACAUUUUAGUGUAAAUAUAACAUUAUAUAAAAAUAAAAAUUCAAUUUUACCCUUCUAACAUUUAAACUAAAAGAAACAAAAAACCUAGUGAUUGCCCUUCUAACAUUGUAUGGGUGCGUUUGUUGCAUCGAUUGUCUCAUAUUGAACUAGUUUUAGAGACUAAGCUGGAUUGGCUUCAACUACACUAAGUUGAACUAACUUAGUGUAGUGUUUGGUGCAGUGUCGGACUAAAAAAAUGAUAAUUAACAACUAUAAUAUUAUAUUUGUUAUCACCUAUAUUUAACUGACAAUGAGGGGGGUUGGCGGCACAGAGAAAAUAUAGAGAGAGAUGUGUUUGUAGGGUUGUGUAGAGGAUGUGUUAUUCCCCACUACACAGUGCCUUUAUUUAUAGUAAUAAGGGAGGGAAGAAAUCCUUCUCAUCCCAGGAAUACAAGUCCUAAUAGGGAAGAAUUACUAGUAUCAAAUCUAAUAUUGGAUUUACACAAUCAAACUUAAAUAAGAAGUUUAUAACACUCCCCCUUGAAUUUGUAAAUACUCAAGUAAAUUCGGCAACAUGUAGAGUUGAGGAAGUUGACUCGUCGACACUGAUUCUGGGAACAUGCUAGUCUCAAAGUAAAGUAGGAACUUCCAUAAGGAACUAAGUCUCACAAAAACCCGACAUCAAUGGUAAAACCCGAGUAGGGACAAAAUUCAUGUACCAAGGAAAAAUGCAUGAGAAAUGCAAAGUCAAAUGAAACGUCUACGGUACGUCAUCAGGGAUAUGAUCAGCUCAAGGUGGGUGCCUCGUCAAAACCUUGUUGGGUAGAAAAAACCCAAUGGGAAAAUGCUCUUAAUCGUAGGGAAAAGAGUAUAUUAAGAUCAAGCAAGUAUACUUAAGGAUACUCCCCUGAGUUUGACUUAAUUCCAACGAGAACUAACAAUGUUUCAACUUAGAAAGUUUAUGCAUACCUAUUCCUUGAACAAGCUUCUGAAACGUUGCCUUCAGUAGUGAUUUGGUGAAGAGGUCAGCCAAAUUGUCUUGUGAAUGGAUUUGCAUGACUUCAAUCUUUUGAUGCUCUUGCUGUUGAUGUGAGAAGAAGAACUUUGACGCAAUGUGCUUGGUGUUGUCUCAUUUGAUGUAACCCUUAUUGUGUUGUUCGAUGCAUGCUUCGUUAUCUUCAUAGAUUGUAAUCAAGAUGUCAACGACGGGGUAAAGAUCGCAAAAGCUUGGAAUAUGCCCACAACUGCUCUCAACCAAAAGCAUUCCAGAGUUGCUUCGUGUAAGGCGAGAAUUUUAGCAUGGUUAGACUAAGUGGCAACUAAGGUCUGUUUAGUUGACCUCCAAGAAAUUGUAGUGCCUCCAAUAGUAAAGACAUAAUGUCAGCAUAACCAACAAGGUAAGAAUCGACUCGAGAUAAGGGGGUGAGACAUCACUCGAGGAUCCGUAAGGAUAGAACAAGCCCAAAUCCGCAUUAACCUUAAGGUAAUAGAAGAUGUCUUUAACACCAGUCCAGUGUCUGCGUGUUGGUGCAUUACUGUAUCUUGCUCGAAGAUUAACAUUGAAGGAGAUGUCGGGUCUAGUGCAUUGAGCUAAGUACAAUAAAGCACCUAUCGUACUUAGAUAAGGAACUUCAAGCUCCAAAAUCUCUUCAUCAUCCUUAUUUGGACGAAAGGGAUCUAGUUUUUCAUCUAGUGAUUGAACGACCAUAGGAGUACUUAAAGGCUUCGCUUUAUCCUCGUUAAAGUGGCGCAACACCUUCUGGGUGUUGUUCGAUUGAUGUUACUAAGAUUCCAUCCGAACGGUGCUCUAUCUCAAGAUUAAGACAGUAUUGAGUCUUUCCUAGAUCUUUCAUCUCAAAUUUCGACAUAAGGUGCGCGGUAGUUCUCUUGAGCUCUUUAAAAGUUUCGAUGAGGUUCAUGUCGUUGACAAAAACUGCAACAAUCACAAAACCGGAAUGUGACUUCUUAAUGAACACACAAGGGCAUAGUUCGUUGUUCACAUAUCCUUGACUAAUCAAAUACUUACUCAAACGGUUAUACCACAUUCUUCCAGAUUGCUUCAAACCGUAGAGUGAACGCCUUAGUUGAAUUGAGAGCGUGUUCCGGGAUUUGGAAAUAUUUGAUCCAGUCAAUGUAAGUCAUUCGAGAACUUUCAUAUAGAUUUUCAUAUCAAGAUCCCCAUAGAGAUACACAGUUACUACGUCCAUCAGCUGCAAUAUAUAUAUAUAUAUAUAUAUAUAUAUAUAUAUUAUUGAAAUAAUUAAUGAUGUUUAUUAAAAUCUAGGGACCUUGAUCAAAAAUUGAAAAGGAAUAAGGUUUUAAUCAAUGGACUAGGAAAAAUAGGGAUGAGAACCUAAUUUUUCCGUAUUUUAAAUUUUAAUCUCUAUUACACAAUUAAUAACAUAUUUGUUAAUAUUUUUUAAUUCAGGCAAGGUCAAAGUUUCCUGAGAUUGACAUGUUCAAGGAAGGAUACGUUUGCCCCGGCGAUGAGUUGGCCGAGCAACCCCAUGUAAAUUUUUGUAGUUCUUAGAUUUAUAAUUAGUUUCAAUAUUAAUUAAAGUUUUAUGUAAAUAUUAAUUAGAUUGUUUUUAUUAUUAAUGGAAAUUAUGGUGGAGAAGAGCCAAGCUGUUUUGCAAGAGGUGGCUUCCUAUCUCCCCUAAACACACCAAUAGAGGACGUUGUUCACAUCGAGGAUAUGGGUCAUCAUAUCUUGAUGGGCACACUCGGUCGUAGGCCGGGGAAGGUUUACUAGGGGAUGGGAAAUGCCCGCUUUAGUAACACAACUGCCUCAUCUUCCACUUCGAGCACAGGACAUGUCGCAAUGUUGACGACACAAGUUACGAACCUAGAGCAGCAAAUGGCAGCCCAGAAUGCCCACGUACAUUGCGGCCCAGGACAAUAGGAUAAGUGAGCUUAUACACGCCCUUUAAAUGUCUGGCUUUCAGUUCCCCCAAGCUCCAGCUGCUCUUCAGGCUCCUUCAACCUCCUAGCCCCUUGACCCAGCACAUAAACAGCCAGCCGAAGUAGUCAACAUGGAUGAUUCUAUUUUGUAGUGUUUUUUUAAUAUUUGAAUUUAUAAAUAAAUAAUUUUUUUGUUUAUCAAUUACUUUGUUAAUUUAAUUAAACUAAUUUAAAUUAAAUAUAAACCAUUUAUUUCAAAUUAAAAAAAAAGUUAAAAAAAAGGUUGCGCUAACACAACCUAACCUGGGUAGGUCGAAGCAUGCUGGCCAUCACCGUGAGGUGACAUAACCAUAAGGGUAAGUGAUGCAAAAAGUGAAUAAAUUUAAAACUAAUUAGAACUAGUUAUACUAAAUAGUGAAAGAGUGCGGAAUCACAAUUAUUUAGAGCAUAAUAGACAGUGAGACUACAGAAGAGUAGUCAAGGUAACUAAAGUACACUUAUUACACAACAGUGAUAAGUUCGUACGUCUAAACAGAAGAGAAUGCCAGAACUGCGGGGAUUCCUCAAGUGCCACAAAGAGUACAGCUAUCUAGGUCCUGGAGGGGCGAAAAACAAAAUUGAGUGGGUCAGCAUAACAAUGCUUUUACGAAAUCCUUUAUUUUCGAAUAUAGUAACCCCUCACCGUAAAACAAGUAUAGUUUCCUUAAAACAUACUACGUAAGUAUGUAAAUAAUAAAUCAACAAUAUGAUGACAGUAUAAAGAUCAUAAAUAUGCCAAGUCAUGAUGUAUCAAAUUCCACAAUAAUAUAAUCAUGUGAUAAUCAAGUAUAGCUAAGUACUCAUUCAUCUAGGCUGACACACGAGUUCGAAUAAAUAAUUUAUGAGAUGAAUAGGACUUGGUGUAAUCAAUAUACUCUAGUACUACGAUCACGUGAAGACUGGUGCAGAAGCACGUCACAUACAAGUCAGAUUGCCUAAUGUAAUCUACCUGACAGGACUGGCACCUAACUUGGAUCCAAGGCGAGUGAACGGUGCGAGGUGAACAUACACAUGAAGGACUGGCCUUGGCCAUGGGGGGAGUACUAACACCGAGGUGCAGCAAGAUGAGCACGUACAAAUAUGUAUGAAUGCCAUGACAGUAAUUGUGGAUGCAAAUUUCUUCCUCCUUGAUCUUGGACAAAAUUGCACCUACAAAACAAUUAACACCUUAGGGUCAAGGCCAAGAGCCUCAUGCACCCACGAUGAAUGAGGGGGGCUUUGGCCGAAGAACCUCUGAUGCCAAAGUUAGAAUUUAGAGAGAAAAGUGUUUGAAGAGUAUUGGGAACUUUGCAAGUGUGUUGGCAUGAUCUUUUGGUGAAAAUGGGAGUCUAUUUAUAGGGAUAGGGUGGCCGGUCCCCUUUGGAUGUUUUUUAGGGUGUAACUUAUGGUUUAAUGUGUGAUUUAAUGGAUUAAUUAGGCAAUUAAUCCAUUAAUUGGUUAAUCAACACAUUUUUGGAAUAAAUAUUUUGGGGGUUAUGUAAUUUAUAUGGGAUGUUUUGACGGUUAUGAAAUAAUUACCUUGUGAAAAAUAUAGGAAAUAACUUUGAAUUUGUUACCUAUUUUGGGCAUUUUUGAUUUGGUUGAAGGAUGAUUGCCCGCUCCUCAAGGGUAUUUUUGCCGGCUUUUGUCCAAAAAUCCACAUGUCGCCUUGUGAUUAUUUUUGGCUCCACAGUAAUAUCUCAACCAUAUAGCAGCAUUUAUCACAAUUAUAUUGCAGUUCUCAAUUAUUUGGCAAUAUAUACGCAAAGUGAUGUAUUUAUGCAAUUUUGUAAACUAUAAAAUACGUAUAGAUAUAAAAAUAAAUUGCCCACUCACAAGUACGUCACUUGGUCGUAGCCCUCGAGCCUAGCCUGGCCCCGAACGUCCUCGAGAUACUUUUCCCUUAUAUGUGAAAUAACUAAAAUAAAAUUAAUUAAAGCACAUAUACGGAAACCUAAAUAAAACCCCUAUAGUUUGCUCAAACCUAGGGUUUAAAUAUACCAUCGUGACCUACUCGAUGUCACGAGCAUCCCCAAAAUUUUAAAAUAAUUUUUGGACGGCUCACACGCCCCUACGCACCAUCAAGGGCAUGGCCAGACGCGUCCCCACGUGCAGGCCAGUGCCGUCAGUUAGCCUGACGCCGUCAGGAAUAUUCCACUGAAUAUUCCGUUAAAUGCUAACAAAAGUUAACGGCGUUACAUGACGCCGUCAGGAAUAUUCCAUCAACUCUGACAGAAUAUUCCGUCUCCUUCUUCGGUUGUCCUCGCCGUCGCCAUCGUCUGCAGCUUGAUUUUUCGCCGGAUUUCUGGAAAAUUUUCAAACUCACUAUUCUCAUUCAUUUCUCAACCAUUUUUGACGUACUUUAUAUUGAUUUGAAGCUAGUGAAGUAUACCUAGCCUGUUCCAUUGUCUGAAUAGCUCUGCAAUGGACUUGUGUGCCUACAUAAAUUAAUGAGCAUUGAUUUCUUGUGAAAACGAUUUGAGAUUUGAUGUUGAGAUACCUUGAUGUAGUACCUUACAUCCUUUGACUCGUGCUACAUGGUACCUUAUUACAUUUUAGUAUUAUAAUAUUUUUGGAAAACUAUAUACUUGUUUUACAGUGAGGGUUACACUUUUCGAAAAGGUUUUACAAAUCCUUAUUUUAUAGGCUUACUCACCCCUAUUUUUCACCCCUCCAAGAUUUUAGUGGUAGAGGUUUUGUGACGAUAAGGAUUGCUGGUAAAAGCUAUUAUGUAGGGGACUUCUCAUUUCAGUAUAAAAGUCCUUACUCUUGUUUUACUGUAAUUUAUCUAUGCUCUGAAACCACUUGUGUGAUAUGGGUUCAAUCCCGCUAACAUGCGCAUUCUAAAUUAGUCACGUUUAAGUUUUAAUUUAUUCACAUUUUCCUCAUCAUUACAAUUUACGGCUUCAUCACCUUCUAGGUAUCGGCGAGCACAUCGUGAUUUGGGUGGAUAGGUGGACAUUCCGGGUUCGGGUGUGUCAAAUAAUACAAUAAUACAUAUUUAGUAUACAAUAUACACUAUGACUAUUAUAUUUUAUAGUAAUUGUUUUAGUAGUUUAACUUUAAAAUUAUCAAAUAAUUGGUUUCUUAAUAGGUCGAAACGUGUUAUCCACGGGUUACCAACGUGUAAACUCAUACCAGCCCACUUAGGAAGAAACUAGGAUUCAAAACUUUAGAAUCACGUGUAGGUUUAGUGCAAAGAGUCCACUAAUGAGGAGAGAAUGGAUCUUUCCCUUCCUAGAUCACACAGAAAAAUGAGGAAGGAAAAUAAGGAUGAGCGUUGCCAAAAGUGACACCUGUGGAAAUUGACCAGGAAAAAAGGCAUUCUAAACAAAGUGCAUGAUUUAGUCUUCACAGGAGCAAUGACGUUCAUCAAUGUUACGCUAAAAAGGAAGGUAAUAGCUAUACCAAGGGAAAAAGAGAGGAAAACUUAGCUAGGAUAGGAAGAAGCAUGGAAAUCAAGGGAUUCCUUAAGGAAAUGUAGAAAGAUACAUGCGCCUAUAAAAGGGAAGGAUUAAUUCAAUGCAAAGGAGGACUGACCACAUGAAGGAAAUUUUUUGGAAAGAUAAGUUCAUUAAGCAACAUAAUACAUGCAUAUUAGAUGGCGGAAGCAUGUUUCUAUGCACUUUAAAACAAAGCUUACACCAUGAAAUUCAAAGCCUAGUAGUUAUGGUGAACCAAGACUUAACUCUAAAACAAAGUGAAUUGAGAAACUUUUAUACCUUUGAAGCACCUCAUUGCUUAGCAAAGGAUAUUCACCCAUGUGAGGCCUUCUUUCUUUUGUCUUCAUGCUCCUUGGCUUCAUCGAUAUGAAUGGAGGAACUUUACUUCUUAGCUGCAUGUCUUCUUGUAUUUAAUAGAACAAAAGGAUUCUCCAAAAGCCUCCAAAGUUGAAGGCCUCUAAGUUCUGACAACAAGGAAUGAUUAAAGGAAGAAGAUGAGUGAUGUAGGAGGAGGAAGAUACUAGUAUCCCCCUCCUACAUGGCCUCCUAGAGAGAAAGAGAGAGCAAAAUUUCUCUCAUCUUUCCUCAGAGAAAACCCUUAAAGAGGUUAAGGCUAUGAAUUUGCUUUUUAUACGUCUUUCUAAGUGAGUGGAAAACUUGUAAUAAGUCCACCACCAUAACUUAAACUCCAUGGGUCUUGUGGAUUAAAACCCUUUUGGACCCCGAAACCCGAAACUAAUGUAAAAGCCCAAUACGAACCUUUCGUAUGAUUAAGUAACAUAUUAAUUAAUCCUUAGUACAUACAAUUAAACUAAUUAGAUGUCUUUACUCAUCUUCAGUAAAUCCUUCAAUCAUUACCUUACAUGGUGUGUGAUCCAUUAGGUUGCUUUUAACGAGGCAGUGGGCGAUUAUAACUCUUUCUAGGUCGAUUGUGAAUCGAAACUUAACGAAAAUAUAAUCAAACAAUGGAAUUUCAUCAAUCGGAUGUCUAAUAUGAAAUUGGGGCACCCAUUUUAGCCUAGGGAGGUCAAAUGGUGUCUCUGCCCAUGCGCCGCCGCCGCACGCGGUGGCCGGCCACCCCGACUUGCAGAAAUGAAGAUCUUGAUGAGUAGAGUAAGUUUUAUACCUGUGACCAAGUUCAAUUUGACUGAGAAAAGCUCCAAUUUUCCUUGAACCCGCCCGAAACCCUAAAAAGGGUGGCCUUCGAUUCGGCUUCUCCGGUGCUCCGCCGCCUCCAAGGUUGUUUGGGGUUUGUUCCUGGGAUCAAGGAGAGUUUAAUAGGGGUGGUGGUUGAUGGAAUUUGAUUCAGAAAUGGCGGAUCACCGCUGUAGGUGCCUUCGAAGCCGUUGGUACGAAAUCACAAAACCUAGGCUUAAAAUCCACCAAUUAAUGAAUAAAAAUGGAAGAGGGGAGGUCAUGAGAUGGUUUCCAGGUGGUGUCUUCGGUUAAUUCGUCAAAAAUUGGCUGGGAAACCAUUGGUUUCUAUGGUUCUUGUUGGUCGGGUCGCAAGGGUUAAGGGAGACCCGGUUUGGCUUCCCUUAUGUUCUUAUUCUUUCAUUUCCCUUCUGUUCUCCUACUUGUUUCUUUCCUUACUUCCCUCUCUACUCCUCAUUGGUCGCCCAUUCCCCUAUUUUCUCUCAUUUCUCCUUUCUCUACUCUGAUUGGGCAGCAGCCCUCUUCUUCCUCUUUUCUUUUCUUCUUUCCUUCUCUCAUCCGUCCUUCUCCCUCAACUACUAUUAAAUAAUAAUGUAAUAACAAAAUAAUGUUAAAAUAAUAAUAUAAUAAUUAUAAGAAAUAUAUAAAAUAAUAAAUAGUAAUCUUUACAAAAGUACUUUUCUAAUUUGUAGUUUCGUAAAACCCCUAUCGUAACUCCGGUUUCGAUUCAGAUUACGCUUACGCGAUCAUCUCAUCGAGAACUUUGAGAGUACGGUAAAAUAGUAGUUCAUACAGGUCAUGAACUAACGGUCAACGAAAGUCAAUAAUCUCACAUCUAGGGCAUUUUUGUCAAUUCACGCUAAAAAUUAAUAAAACCGUAAAAGUAGGGACGAGUUGUCACAAUCUACCUACCUUAAAAAAAAAUUCAUCCCCGAAAUUUGAAAUCACUUGUUAUACAAAAGUAAUGAAAUGGCAGCGGGAAAAAUAAAUAUGUAAAGGAAGAUAUCAAGUUAAAGUGGUUGCAUAAAAGAGAAUUCCAUUCCGUCACGAUCGGAUUGCAAUGAUUCAUUUUUCAUGCCUCCAAACUCAAACUUCAUUCUCCUUCGAUACAAUACCAAAAUAUAAGACUUUUAUAAAAAUAUAAGGUCAAGAAUAGAUAUAUAAAAACAUAACGUCAAAAUACGUAUGUAGUGAAGUAAAGUUAAAAUAAUUGUACUGAAAUCAAAAGCGACCAUAGAUAGAUUUCACCUAUGCACUCAUAGUAUAACGUACUCCGAGAAUAAGCAUGUAGUAUCACUUAGUUAAGCCCAAACGAUAAAUAAAUAACUAGACGUAUAAAUAAGUAAAUAAAAUACUAACGUAGACAGACCUACAUGUCCACUUGUUGAACGAGUUCAAUAAAUAAGUUAUCGAUAUUACAAUCUGCAGCUCGUAAUACUGACAACUCACAAUUGUCUCGAUAAGUAAUUAACAAAUUCCCGAGGGUGCAACAUUACCAUCAUGCCCCUCAUUGGGAAAUACACAUAAAUCAUCCAAUUAAUGCCUCAAUUGCACUCACGUACUGCCCUCUCGGGCGACAACGCUGAGAGCACAUAAUUUGCUACAUUGUAAUCUCGAUCAUUCAAAUACAUGUUCACAAUACUCUUCUGUCAAUCAUGUGCUAUGCAUAAAAUUUCCGUACUACAUCUCAACAUUGCCGUACCCAAAACCAAAAAUUGUAAAAGUAGUUACAAGCAGCUCAAAUAAAAAUAACUAUGUGUUACAACCAUGCUAAUUGUAGAAUGGGCAAAAUGCAACAUGUCCACUAAGGUUUGAGUAGCUCGUUUCAGACUAACGUUAGUCUGAGGGUGAAAUGUGGUACGUGACAAAGCUUAAUACACAUAGCCUUCAAGAAGGCUUCCCAAGACUUGGAAAUGAAACACGUGUCACAGUGAGAUAUAGUAGUGACACACAUCAUAUAACCAAACAAUGCAGUUCAUAACACCAUAGUGAGCAGGUUUAUAUUGAAUUUGCCUCGAGUUUAGCAAAAACUAUGUCGAGAAGGCUAAAAGAACACUCAAGAAUCUAGGAGUCAAAACAAGUCCAUCAAUCUAGGAUACAAAGUAACCAGAGUGGACACAUGAUAUCUCACUACAACAGUAGUUUCCUAAAUAUUCAAUCACUAACGGUAAAGAUUCGUUCAACAAAGUAUUUGUUGGGUGAUUGAAGAAUUAAUCGUCACAAUUAAAAUUUCAAUGUCCGAGCGAUUCUUCACGAGCUUUGUGCGACGAACCAUGCAUUACCAAAAUUUCAUCGCGCAAAGUUUUGCAUGACAAAAUUGUAUUUUACGCAACAAACUUAUUUGGUCGCACAAAGUAUUUUUUGUAGUAAUGACUCUCUUUCUCUCAUUUGCACCCACGUCUACUUCUUUCCUACUUUUUCUAACUUCCCUAAUCCACUAAUUUUUUUACAUGAAUUAAAUUUAGUUCUUUUUAAAAUUUUAAAUCACAAGUGUGUAUGUGUAUCUAGUUCCUAAAUAAGAUAAUCUUGUUAGUCAUCUGGUAUUGAAAAUUUGAUAGGUAUAAUUUCUAUAGCUAUUUCUAGUUCCUAAAUAAAAUAAUCUUGUUACUAACAUGAUGCCUAACGUUAAUGGUGCGGUCACUCACAGCAACUCUGGUGUAGUUGAGUGGGAAGCUAAUGUUUUCGUGUAUGGAUAGGAGCCCAACUUACAUAAACGAGUUGACCACUAAAUAAUACUAAUGCAGUAUCAUAUGAAAGAGAAACUUACAAAUUACAUUGUACUAUUUAAUCGAGACAUCACAAAAGCAAGUAGGUUAACUUAAUCCAUAUAAGAGUUUGUUUAGAAGUGCUUUUGAAAAUGACUAAAAUCGCUUUUGGUAAAAUUGGUUUAUGAGUUCCAAAGGCACUUUAAAGAACCUGAUAUGAGCUUCUUACAAAAAAGUACUUUUUCAGUAUCCGUUUGAAUUUUUACUAAAAAUUGGUUUCAGAAAUGUUUUCACUAUAAAUAUUUCUAAUCAUUUUAAAAGUACUUAGUGAAAGUUGUUUGUGUAGAGAUGAGGGGGUGCGCCAGUUGUUUUAAUAGAAAGAGACACGAUAGGGACGGAAUCAUUCAAAUUUUGGUUUUAACUUGACAAGAAGUCUCUCUCACCCCAGUUUUGGUCACAAUUCUUAAAUAGUUAAAUGUCGAUUUCUUAAAAAUAAGUAUCUUUGCAGGGCAAUGCAAAUAUCUCAACAAGCUAGUUAAAUAAUCAAAUGUCUAAUUAGUUGACUUCCCAUUUCCCCCGCUACCCAUCCUGCGCGGACCCGCCAACAACAUAGACUACCCAUAUUCCCGCUAAGCCCACUCUCUCUUAUUUUAAUGAACAAUAAAUUCAAUUAAAUACUCGCAUUCUUCUCUCCAAUGACCAAUACCCACAAGGCUACAUACAAUGCAAUCCCCAGCCCAUCCAUUGACCUCCUGCCACAUUGCGGUGAUCGGCGCCGGGGCAAGCGGACUGGUUGCCGCACGUGAGCUACGCAAAGAAGGUCACAAGGUGGUGGUCUUCCAGCGAGGUGACCAAGUGGGAGGUACGUGGGUGUACGAUUUGUUUGGAUUAAUAUUUGAACCAUGGGCUGCAAGUAUGUAGAAACCCAAAGAUGCCGAUUAAAAGAAGACUUGCCGAAAGUCUAACAUCAAGCCCAAAGACAAGUUGGCGACUUCUCAUUAAUGCAUAGGCCAUAUGCCUAUGAUUUAAAAUGUCAAGUGAUGGGGACUAACUCACAAUCAGCCAAAAAACAUUUUUCAGUGGCAACACAAGUAAAAAGUUGAUGGCUCAUUACCCUCCAAGUGCCAUCUGGCAAGAGCAAAGUCACUGUAGUCGGGCUAAUCUACCUAUAAAGGGAGGAAGAGGCCCCAGAGACAAGGACACUCAACCAAUCAAAUAAACAAACAAACAAACAUACAAACUCUGCUCUCAAGCCAUAUUUGCAUCCAAAAGCUGUAAUCAGCCCAGAUCUCAGUCAUUCUCAAGAUUUCUCCCUCACAACAGCCAUCUUUUGUCUAGUUUAAAGCUCUGUUAUUGCUAGGAUUAAAAGCACACCACAAAGUAGUACACAAAUGUCCUAUUGAUUUUCCUUAUUAACACUAAGAUUUUUCAAUUAUAGCAUAUGAAAAUAAGGGUCUUUCCCGCAGAAGAUUGUUUCAUCUAACUACUUAAAAUGUCACAAAAACUGGGCUGCUGUCCAUAUUGAACAGCCACUGAAAAAUAAUUAUUAGACCAAUUUACACUUAUCUAAAGUCUAUGAAAUUUUAUAUACAGACACUAGACACACAGAGCUACAUUCACACAAAUGUUUGGGAUUUUUGGAUUUGAUUUGAUAUUUAAAUUAAAUCAAACAAAAAUAAGACUGAAACAGAUUUUAAGUAGUUCACAAAUUAAGAAAAAUGAAUUAGGGGAAUUGCUAUCCACCACUAAAUAAUCAUGUAAACAUGUUAUGUUUCAUUCAAAUUCCUUUUAUUUCCGGAUGAAGAUGCUCAAGUCGGCUCAAUGUUAGAACUCAACCUAUUACUCUUUCUUUUGUAGUAUGUUAAGAGAAUGACGUUUUCAACUUAACUUAAUCCCUAGCAUGCAAUCUAGAAUGGCUUGUUCGUAGAUCUAACAAGUAGAAAUCAUUAAGAAUGAAAAGAGUUUGAGUCAUCACAAGACAUCGUAAAUACUGGCGUUGUCUUACUUAUCCUAGAAAUUGGUUCACAUGUUAAUCGCAAUUAACAAGUACUACUCUAGAAUAUAUGUAGGUCCUCAUUCAACAAAGGCAGACAUACACAUAUUCAUAGCAUUAGAAUCCUAGAUAUGCUUACUAAGUAAGCAUCCGUAGAAAACACAUAAAGAAUUCAUCAAUGAGACAAGUAGUGGAUUAAUUUUCAUCCAUUCAUAAAAGUAAUUCAAACGAAAUGUCAUAACAAACUUGCAAUCAUAUUCGGGGCUUCAAAACAGCCCAUAACUACUACAAAUUUAGUUACACACAAUCCUUAAGUUAAAACAAAAGAUAGACAUGAGUUUGAGAAGAUAGAACUGUAAGAAAUCGACUGAGGCCUCCUCCUCUUUCCUUCCUUCCCCAACGCUACUUUUAAACCAAUUCUUGCUGCAUCAUUUUCUUCUCCUUGACUCACCCACUAAUAGCCAUUUAGUGAUGACAAUAAGUGAGAGGAAAUGAUAAAACAAUUGUAACUCUUUGGGUAGCCUUUAUGCCAAUUACUCCCUCUUAAUCCUUAUCUUUAAUUCCAUUCCCUUUUAUAUUUAGUGUCAGCUGACUUGUUUUUGGCUGCAUCAGUUUUGGUUGUUAGAUUUAUUGGGUUUAUUGCUUUCAUUGCAGUCUUGUCAGUUACAAAUUGCUCAGCCUCUUGGAAACCUUUUAGUGUUAAAAUGGCCAUAACAUCUUCUAGACAAAUGAUAUUAACAAUCCGUGGAAUGCUCCAGAAAAUAGACAUCUGUAGCUUUCCAAGCAUAUAAAGCUCAUUCUCUAAUUCAUUCUGAGCUGUUCGCAACUUGCUUCCAAAAUCAACGAAUCUGCACAGGCAGUUUUGACGAAUUUGUUACUUAAAAUCCCACUUGCGGUAUUUUUGUUUUCUUUGCUUGACAAAUCCCACAAAACACAAAAACAAAGUAAAUAGCUCAAAAAUAUAAGGAACUAACUAAGAAAAGACAAGUGAUUUUGAUGUGAAAUAUAUAUAUAUAUAUAUAUAUAUAUAUAUAUAUAUAAAUAUGAGCUUAUCAGUUAUCAUCCCUAGUGGCGUAGUAUCGAUUCCCUUGUGUAAACUUGUUUACCAAUCCAUCCCUUUUUAGUGAAUAAACCCUGUAAACUCAAAAGAGAAGUGAUUGCAAGAAAUUCAACAUUGCCCGACAAGGUGAAAUCUUACUCAAAGCUCUUUGUUUGUUUUAUAAGUUAAUAGAUCUAUUGCUUAAUGUCUUCUCCAACAUGUAUUCAAGUCAUUUCCACUAGUUUUCCCAUUAUAAGAGUUCCAUUUGCUUCCGGAUCUGAUUAGUUUAAUUGACAUGUUAUCAUUAAAAUCAAUCAAGAACCAAGUAAAUGACUUAAGAGGAUUUGGACUCCUUCCAUUCGAACAAACAAGACUAUGAACUAAAAGUCCUUGCUCACAAGGCAAGAAAAAAAACUUAAUGUGGACUUAACUCAUCCAUGACAAUCUUUCGAUAACAAGAAGUCAGAGUAACUUGGGGAGUAAGUAAUCGACUAAACACAAUCUUGUUCUACAUCUGCUAUACUAAGAUAGCAGUGGCACGCCUAGCACUUGGUUAAUUUUGAUUUCGAGCCUCAAGGCCUACAUCUAAGGCCUUACAAAGUCACCUUUCAAAACUAACUCUAUCUUCUUCUUGCAACACAUAAGUAGGAAAGAGCCCGACUACACAUCCAAAGUGCCAAUCCGUUCAGGAGAUAUGCUGAAAGCCGAUGAGGCCUCUUCGGAGAAAUCUUCACCCGAGCAUAGUUUUGGCACGCCCGAUGGGACAUCAUUAGUCUUGUAUGCCAAGAACAAGAAAGAAGGAGAAAACCUUCAGGUGGAACACAGAGUACAGGCUACCCUAGUGUCUACCAAGAUCAAACAUGACAGAUCACCCAGAUAAUGUUUCCUCAUUACAAGGACCAGCUGUCUUGAGAAGCCCGACCUCAUCUGAGAAGUCGGGGGGAAUGGUAACCAAUGAAGACUUGCAAGCCACCAUGGUGCAAGUGUUAAGAAGUAUAGAGAAGAUUUCCCUGGAAACCAAGGGAGAAGUAAACAGACUCUGUUCUUUAACAAGGAGUUUAUAAAGAAGACUAGAUUUGGGGUACUCUACUCCAAAUAAUGGUUAUGGGAGAUGAGCAAGCCCUGAGAAAGAACCAAUUAUUCCAUUAUUUCCUUUGCUUGAGGAAAAGCAAGGUAAAGAUAAAAACAAGGAGGAAUCUGGAGCUAGUCAAUCGGUGUUGGAAGAAAUCCUAGAAGCGGAGUUGCCCGAUCCCUCACUAUUUCACUUAAUAGUACGGGGCAGAGCGAGCAAGAAUGAAUGAAGAAUGGGAUGCCCCAGUUGAUCAGGGAAUCAAGUGGAAAAGGCAGGCCUACCAAGGUAGACAAGCAUCCGCCUUAUAGGUGUUGGAAAUGUGCUCUAAAGCCAAUCAUAUGAUGAUACUUUACGGACAUUUCACAUGUUAAACUAAUCUAGUUUUACAUAUAAAGGGCAAAGAUUAUUGUUUGAGCCGUCUCAUAUAAAUGUUAUAUGUUUAAACGAUAAAGUCCAAGGAAUAUGUGAUUGGGAGAAUGUAAUCUAAUGAAGUUAGAUUCAUGAGACCAUUCUUUCGUAGACACAUCCUAAAUGUUCCUGAUCAUAGGAUUGUCAAUUGGGCAUUGACAGUCCGUAAAGAUCGGUACGUACUAUGUCUUCUCUCAGGGAGAGUGAUUAGUCUCGAGUCAUUGGUGUGUGUGACAUCAAGACAAGUACGUAGGUGCUCAAUAGAGAAUGAGUACACUGAUCGUGAUCAACGAAGAGUUCUCAUAUUCCAUGUCACAUAAGAACUCAUGGUUGGGAUAAUGCAAAGUAGUCCUUUGACCUGAGGCAUCACAGUUGUCUUGUGGUUAAGUCCUUGAUCUUUAAUUAUGUCAAAGUCACCCCCUCGGGGUGUCCACGACAUCGUUGGGGUUAAGCCACUUAGCUAUGGAGACAAGUGAAUGCGCAACAAGGGAUCUCUAACCUUCAAACAGUUGAGGGAGAAUACUCUAUGAUAUGAUUUGGAAUCUCUGGCCAGAGUAUGAAUGAGAUUAGGGAAUGCGUUCCAAAUCACAUUCAAGGAAAUCAUAUAAGCAAACGAUUUACAUUGGAUAGUAGACAUGAGUAAAUAAACUAUCAUACCAAACAAUGUGGUCAAGAGUAUUAGAUUAGAGAAGGACCGUAUUGCAUUUGUAAUCCCGAACUGAAUAGGUUCUCCACCUCUUCUGAUUAGCUUGGGUAACCAUGAUAUGCUGCUAGGUGUCACUCAUGGUUUGUGGAAGCCCUAAACGUGUGUAAUCACUAAAGGGAGAAUUGAAAAUAGUUUCAAUUCACAAUCGAUGUAAAAUGGUUUUAAUCGCCCACUACCUCGCUAAAAGGAACCUAAUGGAUCGCACACCAUAAAAGGUGGAGAUUGAAGAUUAAACGGAAAUGAGUAAGAAUGAUUAAAUGGUUUAAUCAUUUAUUUAUGGCAAGGAUUAAUUAAUAUGUUAAUUAAUCAAACGAAUAAGUUCGUUAAAGACUUCGGGAUAGUUUUGGACCUUAAGGCCCAAUGGGCUUCGAACGUCAAGCCUAUUAACUUAAGUUGUAUGACAAUUUAAUGAAUGAAGAUUCAUUAAAGCCCAAAAGCCCAAAAUCCCCUAAAUGGCCGGCCAUGAUGAAAUGAAUUAGGGUUUUGGUUGUUUAGGUCACUUAAAGAAGUGACUAUAUAAAUGAUUUUAUAGCCAAAUGUUCAUUAAGUGUUAAAAGGGUUUAUUUUGGGGGAAAAUUGGUGAGAAUUGUCUCUCCAUUUUCUCUCUAAAGAGGCCAACACCUUGGAGGGUACAUCUAGCAAUCCUACUACUCCAAGGUCACUCAUUUCUUCUACAAUCAAACCUUGGUGAAGAGACUUAGAGGUUCCCUAUUUUGGGAACUUGGAGAAACCUAUUUUCCAUCCAAAUCCAUGGAUCUAAGAAGCAAGGAAUGAAGGCCCUAUCUCUUUGGGUGAUUAGCCUUUGCUUAUGCAAAGAGGAAUCUACAAAGGUAAUAAUUUCAACUCACUUUGUUUUGAGUUGAUUAUUGGUUCACCAAUCUACUAGGCUUUGAAUUUCAUGGUAAUGUUUUGUUUUUGAGUACAUGCAAGCAUGAUUCCGCCUUUAAUUGUUAAUUGCAUGCCAUAUGAUGUUGCUCAAAUGAACAUGUUUUUCCAAAAUAAUUCCUUCAAUAGGCCCCUACCAUUGGCCAAUAAGGGAGGGGAUGCCAAGUGGAGGAAGCACGAACGAAGAAAAGAGACUUUCUCGGGCAAUGAUCACAGCCUGAAAUAGGAACCUCCUCAUACUCUGCUUGAUAAUACAGCUCACCAACAACUCACAAAUGAGUUAGCCGAGUUGAUGAAGAUGGUGGCCCAGAAUGCUCAGCCACAAACUUCCUCGCUAUUUAGGAUUACUUAUCAGAAGCCCUAUCUUGAGUAUGUUGACGAGCAAAAACCUUUUCCAGUCAACUUUAAGAUGCCCGCAUUCCCAACAUUCAGCAGAGAAGAUAGCAAUGUGUCUUCUAGAGAUCACAUUUUCAAGUUUUCUAAUCACCGUGUGGCAUUUAAAGACAAUCCCAACUAUAAGUUGAGAUUGUUUGGGAACUCCUUGGUGGGCUUAGCAUCUUAGUGGUACUCUCUGUUGCCCCCUAAUUUUAUUGCCGACUGGGGGCAAAUGGAGAUAACCUUCCAUGAGCAGUUUUACAACGUCGAGCCUAAGAUGACUAUCAACGAUCUGGUUGAGGUCAAGCAGAAUGAGCAUGAAUCCACUAAAGACUUCAUGAUGAGGUUUAGGAGGAUAAAGAUGAGGUGUUAAUACACUAUAAAUCAUGCACAGCUCAUAUCCAUCGCUCAGAAGGCAUUAAGAUCGCCUUUGAGGAAGAAGUUUUAUGACGUGCAAUUCAAUGAGUUGCAAGAGUUAGUGAUUGCUACCACCAAGUAUGAGAAGCUAUUACUGGAUGAACAGCAAGUAAAGCACUCAUAUGUGCCUCAUUUUUACAAAAGCAAAGCUACAAUCCACCAAGUGGAGUUCGAAGAGGCAGAGCUAGAACAAAAUGAUGGCCACGAGAGAGAAGUGAUAGAUAUGUGCGUAAUGGAGAUGACUACCCCAUUCAAACCUUUGACAGUAAAGGGGUUAGUCCAGCUAGUGAAGGACCAGAAAGUGGUCAUGAAUGAUGGUGGUUUUGUCCCCAUGAAGCCCCCCCCAAAUACUAGAGUUAUUCCUUUGACUUAACCAAGGUCGCGAAGAUCUAUGUGGAGUUGGUUCGGGCAAAAGUGAUUGUGCCCGAUUGCACCAAAAAGCUGCCCAAGCCCAAAACAUUAAGAGGGAAGAAGUAUUACAAGCUGUAUGACACUUUCAAUCACUCCAUAACCAACUGUGUCCAGUUCAGGGAUUGGAUGCAAGACUUUAUAGUAAAAGGAAAGUUGUUGUUGGAGAAACCGCAAACCAAUAUGAUGAUUGACACUUACCCUUUCUAGAAGCCCCAAUAAACAUUAUCAACUUAAUGUGGGUUGAGAAAGGGAAAGGAAAAGCUACAUGUGAGGUGAAAGAAGAAAAGAGGCAAGUUGAUAAGCCGACUGAAAGAGCUAUCAAGUUGGCCGAGAAACCCAAAGCAACCAUAAUCAAAUGAGUGGUGUUGUGUAGUAAGUACCAAUAUGAGUGUGAGUUUGAAGUCCCAGCAUCAGGAGCCAUUAUCGAUCAGGAACUGAUCAAAAGAAGAGAGAAAGAAAAGCAAGAUGCCCGUAGAAAUAUCAUAUGGGCAGCUGAAAGAGAGACCUCUAGGAAUGUUUUCCAACGAUUAGGAGGAGACUUUCAACCACAGGGUUUAUCAGAAGUGUUCAGAAAUUACGAAACUUCUGAAGAGGUAGAGGAUAGAGAAGCCAAGGUACCAAGGUGCCAAGAUGGGUGGAUGUGAGGCCACCCCAACCAAGGUAUGUCGGUGGAUAUGUCAGAGUAAAAGGAAAGACAGUGAAUCCAGUCACAAAGAAGAAUCCUACCUGACUCAGGCGGAAAUGGUAUGUGAAGGAAAUAUUUGUGAAAACAAAUUCAUUUGAGCAACAUCUACAACAUGCAAUUAACAAUUAAGGGCGGAAUCAUGCUUGUAUGCACUCAAAAACAAAACUUUACCCAUGAAAUUCAAAGCGUAGUAGUUAUGGUGAACCAAGACUCAACUUAAAACAAAGUGAAUUGAGAAAUCUUAUACCUUUGUUGAUUCCUCUUUGUAAGCAAAGGCUAAUCACCCAAGAGAGAGGGCCUUCAUUCCUUACUUCUUAGCUCCAUGGAUUUCUUAGAGGAUGAUGGAUGAAUGGAUUCUUCAAGUUCCCAAAAUAGAGAAUUUCUAAGUCUCCACACCAAGGAGAGCAUUGAUGAAGAGAUGAGUGACCUAGGAAGAGAUAGAUGCUAGUAAUCUCUUCCAAGGUGGCUGGCCUCCUAGAGAGUCAAGAGAGCUUUGUGUUUCAAGUUGUCAUACAACUUGAGUUAAUAGGCUUGACAUUCAAAUCCCAUUGGGCCUUGCGGCCCAAAACUAACCCGAGGUCUAUAAUGAACAUAUUCGUUUGAUUAAUUAACAUAUUAAUUAAUCUUAGCCAUAAAUAAUUAAACCAUUUUAAUUACCCUUACUCAUCUCCGUUGUUUCUUCAAUCUCUACCUUACUCGGUGUACGAUCCAUUAGGUUCCUUUUAGCAAGGCAGUGACCGAUUGUUAUUCUUAACGAUCGAUUUUGAAUUGAAACAUACUUUCAAUUCUCCCUUUAGUGAUUACUCACCUUUAGGUCUUCCACAAACCAUGAGUGACACCUAACAACAUGUCAUGCCUACCCAAGCUAAUCAAAAGAGGUGGAGAACCUAUGCAGUUUAGGAUUACAAUGCAAUACGGUCUUUCUCUAAUACAAUACACUUGACCACAUUGUUUGGUUUGAUAGUUUAUUCACGUCUAAUAUCCAAUGUGAUUCUCUUACUUAUAUGAUUACCUUGAAUGUGAUUUGGAAUGACUUUCUAAAUCUCAUUCAUACUCUAGCCAGAGAUUCUUAAUCAUAUCAUAAAGUAUUCUCUCUUAGGCGGUUUGAAGGUUAGAGAUCCCUUGUUGUGCAUUCACUUGCCUCCACGGCUAAGUGGCUUAACCUUAGCUAUGUCGUGGACACCCUCUGAUGGAGUGAUUUUGACAUAGUCAAAGAUCAAGGACCUAACCACAAGACAACUAUGAUGCCUCAAGUCAAAUGACUACUUUGCCUUAUCCCAACCAUGAGUUCUCAUGUGACAUGAGUAUGAGAACUCCUCGUUGAUCGUGUUUAGUGGACUCAUUCUCUAUUGAGCACCUACAUGCUUGUCUUAGUGUCAGUCACACCAAUGACUCGAGACCAAUCACUAUCUCAACGAGAAGACAUAGCACGUACUGAUCUUAACGGACUGUCAAUGCCCAAUUGGCAAUCCUAUGAGUAGGAAUGUUUAGGAUAUGUAUAAGAAAGAGAAUGGUCUCUUGAAUCUAACUUCUUUAGAUCACAUUUUCCCAAUUACAUAUUCCUUGGACUUAUCGUUUAAGCAUAUAACAUUUAUAUGAGACAGCUUAAAAUAAUAUAAUUUUUGCCCUUUAUAUUAAACUAGAUUAGUUUAACAUGUGAAAUGUCCGCAAAGUAUCAUCAUAUGAUUGAUUUUAGGGCACAUUUCCAACAGUAUAUGGUUGGAAAUGAUGGGAAGCCCAUCAAAGAAAUGGGAGCCUCCAUGAUUAGGAGAGUUCAGAGGCAACACAAAGCCUACGUGAACUCAUUGAAUGUCCCCACUGCCUUAGAAACCUUUGAGAAUAUAAAGUUUGAGAAAGCACCUGAUGGGGGAAGAAAUUAACUUCAUUGAAGAACCAAGAAAGAGGUUGAAAAGGCUAAUAGCAAGACCGAAGGGGAAAGAGACCAUGUGCCAUAUAACCCCCAUCCUGGGAAAUACAGAAUCUUAAGGAGAGCUCAAGAGGAUAUGAUGAUGAUGCCAAUAUGGUGAUGGAGCCUAGAACAAAUAUGCUUUGGAACCAUCUCACCGAUGAGGGGGUUGCCCGCCCCAUUGUUGGUUGAUACUCUUUGUGAAGUUCCACAACAAAUGUCGAACAUUGGCAUAGCCCAAGAGGAAGCGUUGCCCAAACUUAUGCUGGCCGCAGAAGCACAGGCUUGGUUGAAUGAAUUCAUGGGCCACAUUGGGAGCAAGAAUGAGGUCUUACCUAGACCCAUUAACUUCCGCAUAAACAUGACAUAUGUUUUAUCUGCCAUGUUUUGUGCUGAGCAUGAUCAACCUACCACAAUAGAGGGUGACUACUUAGCAACAUAACCUAUGAUGGCACAUGUUAGUGUUGAAAAGGCAGGAAAACAAGAGUCGGGUAGAGUAGAUUUGCCUGAGCCUACAAAGAGAGAGCCCGAGAGAGUGUACAUUGACAUCAUGGUUUGUAGUCGCCCGAGUUUGACCUUAGACAACCGUCUCAAACCCAUUUAUGUAACUGCUCAUAUGAAAGGAAUGCCCUUUAAAAGGGCUUUCAUUGAUGGGGGAGCCGCGGUCAAUGUGUUGCCUUUCAAGCAGAUGAAAAUGGUAUGUAGAAGUGAAGAGGAUCUCGUCCCCAUGGACUUAACAGUUUCCAGUUUUUCUGGAGCCAUCACUAGAACUCAUGGGAUAUUGCCCUUUGAGGUUGACUUGGGUUCAAGCAGAUCAUGUUAGCUUUCUUCAUUGUGGAUAAUACUUCCACAUAUGGAGCUUUAUUUGGCCGAGAUUGGAUUCAUCAGAGUCUCUCGGUACCUUCCACCCUGCAUCAACAAGUUGCAGUUUACCACGAGAAAGGAGCUAUGGGACCUGGAUUUUGGGAAAUGGUGAAGGCCGAGUCACGCCCAUUCCUCCCCACUGCCAAUGUGGCAGAAGCCAACUUUUAUAAUCCUAGUAUUAGGAUUCUCCAGUGUUUAGGAGCUGAUGAGAAUGGCGGCCCGACUAAGGUGACGGCCCAAAAGCUUUUGGAGCAAGGAUCGCUCCUCACCAGGGAAGACUAAGAUAAACCCCAUAUUGUCCCAACUCCCCAACACCAGUAAUUUCAGAACAAAUAAGAAGGGACCAGGUAAUUGCAGUCAGGUCCUUAAUCAAAAGACUUCUGGUGUAUGGAAGAGAGAAAAAGCAAGAAAUGGAAAAUGUUACUUGACUGAUUUGGGGAAAAACUUGCAAAACCAUCCAGUUGGUGCUAAGUUUUUAAGAAAUGCCAUCCAACUGUCUGGGUGUUAGAGAUCGUUUUAUUAAAGAGAGUUAAUGAUUUCAUAAAGAUGUAAAGUUAGAGGAGACAAUAAAAACUUCAAUAUAAUGCAAGAGGUGAAACAAGUCAAGGUGAACAGAAGUAUGUUUUAUUUCAUGAAAAAGGAUUACAUUCAAUCCUAGCCUAACAGAUGUACAUCUUUACCAAGAGUAAUUAUUCUAGAGUAAUAAGUCUGCAUAAGUGUGAAAAUUAUGGUAGGUUCGGCCAAAACUGUGAUACUAUUGAGAAGUUGAGACUUGGCAUCGUCAAGUUCCAUAUUUUCUUUCUUCACUUCCUUAAUUUGCUGCUAAAGUUUACUGAAGAGAGUCAUUUGUUCGAUCUUCAACAUAGCAAGUUACUCCUCUAAUUUAUGGAUAUCAGAGGACACCACCUUGAUCCUAUCCUCCAUUGCUGAACCUUCAUCCAUUAGUUGAUGAAUUUGAGUUGAAGUACUGGAUUGUUUCUCCAUAAAGCACCUUACUCGAUUGGCUUGCCUCUCAGCCUGACUAUGCUGAUUUUCUAAGAGCCUUCAAGUUCUCGAAAUAUGAGAGAAAUGGCUCGUACUGAACUCUUGAUAGUUGAUCGGCCUUGAACAAGUCAGUCACGGCUUUUGUCUACAUCAUGGAAGGCCUUGAGGCUGAAGGAUGCUGAAAAAUCCCUCCUAAACCAUUCUUGGAAGACUCAGCGUUUAUCUUGAAAGCCUAAAGACUCAGAUGGAUGCCUUGAAUAUCUCAGCUUUAUCUUAAGCUGCCCAAAUUCCUUAAAAAGCUCGGGUAGAGAUACUGUUGAGGGAACCAAUACAGGAGAAGAAGGUCGUGCUCCCACUACUUUAGAGCGUGCAGCAAGGGAGGAGGCUUCAACAGAAGGAGGAGCCUGAGAGAUAGAAACAAUAGUGGUUUUGGUCUUCUUUUUGGGUAUAGGGAUAGGAGUUCUUGUUACCCUAGAAGCUAGAGGAGGUCGAGAAAGUUCUGUUUUGCGCACCAAAUGCGGUGGAGACUUGCCCGGACCUUCCCCAGAGCCCUAUUGCAACCAAGGGAGAUAAGUUAAGAAAAGAGUUUAUAGUUCAGAAUAGAGGAAGUCAAAGACAAGAGAGGUCAAUAUACCUGAGUUGAGUUCAGAACCAAGGAAGGAGAUGGAGGAUGAGUUAUUUCUUUUUGUGGAUAAGGACCAUCCUUGCUAGUUGAAGAAUGAGGAAUAAUGCCCGAGCCAUCACCAAAGGCCUAUAGACAUCAAAAAGACAAAUGUCAAAAGGACAGUUUGCAAAAAAUAAAAAGCAAAAGUUUAAAUAAUUAUAUACAUGAGGUUGAGAGAUGGGUGAUUCAGAAGCAACAACUACAUCAGAAGGAUCUGUAGCUUGAGAUGCCUGCGGGGAAGUGACCUCUGAAACCACAGGGAUCUCAGGGACUACGGGCUUCCCAAAUGGAAAUGUUGCUGAUUGAUGAAAGGUUCAUGCAGGGGAAAACUGAAAAGAGUAAAAUGAAAAUAAGUAUGAAAUGAGGGAAGUUUCAAGCAUAAAAGUGCUAAAAUUACAAAUAUUCACCAAGUUAGUAUCCUUGUCUACAAAAUGCAGCAUUUUCUUUGUCUUCAGAUUGAAUUGGGAGGUUAGAGUCACCACCAACACAGGUUCCCCAACCUUAACCUACAAAAAAAAAAUGAAAGACAAGUGUUGAAACUCUAAGAUUGGUAGAAAUAAAAGCCAAAAUAAUGAAAAAGGGAUGUACCUUUAGAGACUUAGCCCGUGGAGGGGAAGUUUGUACCAUUCGAGCUGGAGAGGAAGAGGUCUUGGGCGGAGAAAUCCUUUCUUUCCUUAUGACCUAUUUCAGAAAUCAGGUAGAAAGUCAAAAAGAGAGUAGAAAAGAAAAUGGAAGAACUCAAAGAAAUGAAACUUAAGGUGCAAGUUAUACCUCAAGUUCUUCCAAGGUGAAAUCUUGUAGAUUUUUGGCUUGUAAACACAUCUCAGCCUGCAGUGGGUCUUCCCUUGAAGCGAUAGUAGGCUUUUUGGUUGCUUGGGGCCCUAAAGUCAAAGGAAAUAGUAGUUGUUAGAUCUCAUUACAAAAUUGCUAUCCAAGAAUAAGAGGAAUUAAACAAGGUUUGCUUACUGGAGGCUUUCUGCUUUUUCCUACCCACAUCGACCUCAGCUACUGAAGUAGAAGACUUAGAGGCUUUGAAGGUCUGUGCCCUCGUCUUUUUCAUUGUUGGAACCGGCCGCUCUUCGGGCUUAGACUUUGAAGUCUCUACCAUCGUUGCUCGAGUUCGACGUGUAGCUCGAGACUUGACUAUAGGAUUUGCCUCACCCUUAGAAUCCCCAAGGGGAGGCAUCUUCGCCCUAUCCAGCACCUUGCUUUUUUGCUUCAGCUGCAGUUUCCUAGAGGAUGAAUGAGUCUGCAACAUUUUCAUCUUGCCCGAAAACAACCUUUGCAGGGUUGCCUUGGACUGCAAGUACAAAGAAACCAAAAAAAGGAUUAGAGAGGGCGAAUUCAUGAACAUUUCAAGUUAAAGGGGUAAGAAAUACAUAUCAAAAUGAGUUAAUUCUUCUGAUGAAUCAUUUCCUUCCAAUCUUCAAGCUCAGUUAAUUUUGGAUGGGACUUGAUGGAUAGUUGCUUGGAUAGGCGGUCAUGAGCUUCAUGCAGAUCUCCUCCAUAUUCUUAGUCCAUUUUGAUUCCUACCAAGAUAAGAAAUUUGAAGUCCCUUCGAAGUUCAAAGCCAUGGGCUUUCGGGCAACCUUGCUCAUGACCUCAAGACUGCAUUUGGCAGCUUGAAAAGUGACUUCAGGUAGGGAGCGAAAACGGUAAGAGGUGCCACAUUGAACAAAGUAAAAAAAAGGGAACUGGAAUGGCUUGCCUAAAGCCCAAUUGCUACUACAUAAGUUUAGAUGAUAAACUUCUAACCCGUGCUCAUAGCUGUCACUUCUUACACCCCAAGCCAGAUCCUUCGAUUUGAUGCAGCUGAUACAUCUCUCUCUACAAAAGGGACUAGCAUCUUCUCCAAAAGUGUCAUGGAAGGUCUAGUCAGAUAACCAAAAGUAUCUCCUUAGGACUGAAGCACCCCAUUCUAGAUCUAAUCGAGUCCUGCAUACUCUGAAGAAAUAUAGACAAACGAAGGUUGAGUGAUUGGUUGGAGAAGCUUCAGCUAAAAUUCGGGCAGGGCUACUCCUUCUAGAAAUUCUAGGUUGGGAGUCCGAAGCUCAAGAAAAUACCAUUGAAGCCAAAGUUAGAUCAUCCAAGUUGGACCAUUAAGGUUGGUUUCAAAUGGUUCACCCUUUGUAAUUUCGUACAGGAGAUGAAAGAGAUGAGCAAGGGGAAAUAGGCUCGUGGCUACAUCGUCAAAGUUGUGAAAAGCCUCUACUAGGGGAAUCCAUUCCACUUUCACUCCUUUAGAUUUAUUGGGGAAGACAUGUUUGUUGAGCUAGUAGAGGACAAAAUACAUGUGUUCCUGAUCUUUGUUAGCUUGGGACGAAGAGGGGCCAAAUUCCUUCUUGCCAACGAGAUAAAACCCGUGAAUGAAGUUCCAUAACUCUUGAAGGUUGCAAAGUUAUAAUCUAAAUGAAGAAAGGGGGAACGAUGCUCGAGCUCUCAACAGUCAUGCGAGAAGAAGGAGCCCAAUCGUGGGUAACGUCCACGAUUCUGCCCGAAUGCCUUAGACUGAAGACCUAAGCCAUGUCUAGGAUGGUCGGGGACAUAGGGCCCAUUCUAUAAUCGAAAGUAUUGGUGCCCGACUUCCAAAAGAGGAAUGCAGUUGUCAACAGCUCAGGCUUGGCAAUAACAAUUGAUUUGGACAACAUUAUCAGCUCAUAAAUUCUGUUAUUCAUCCACUUUUUCUUGAAGGUUGGCUCUUGCUAAUUGAUCCAUUAUGCCCAUCCUUCAUCCUUUAUAAAAAGGAAGCCACGACGAUGAUUCAACCAUUUGGAGGAUGAAAGGGGUUUGGGGUGAACCAUUUCUCCUUGGGCAUAUUGUUUUCAAUAGCAAUUGGGACCUGAGAAGUCCAUGCAGGUCCCAAUGAGUGCACUCAUCCAUCCUCGAAGAAGAGUUCAGUGUGCAGGCCUACUCGAAGGCGAUGAAGGCCAUUGAGAAGACGGCACAUAAUGGAAAUUCCCUCGCCAGUCUCGCAGGGAGAUUGGGUUUUAGCAGCUUUAGAUGCCAUUGGGUAGAGUUGAAGGGGACUGAGAAAGCAAAGAGGAUUUUUUGGGAAUUAUGAAGGUUUUGGGAAUUCAAGGGCUUGGAAUGGCUAUGGUAUUCUGAAGGGUUUAGGAAAGGAUUAUAUAGUAAGUGGCCAAUUAACGGUGGAGUUCAUGGGUUAGUGCAAAGGUUUUAGAUAACCAACAGUUGCUUUAAAUGGAGCAAGUUCCGAGCAAAAGUGUGUGACGGCUAUUCAAUCAUUAUUUACGCUUCGGUUUGCAAGCUCAGCAACGAUUGAAGAGGGCACUAUUUGGGUUAAUAUUUGAACCAUGGGCUGUAAAUAUGUAAAAGCCCAAAGAUGCUGAUAAAAAAGAAGACUUGCCCGAAGCCCAGCAUCAAGCCCAAAAACAAGUUGGCACCUUCCUAUUAAUGCAUAGGCCAUAUGCCUAUGAUUUAAAAUGUCAAGUAAUGGAGAUUAACUCAUUAUCAGCCAAAAAGCACUUUCAAUGGCAACACAAGUAAAAAGAUGAUGACUCACUACCCUCUAAGUGCUUUCGAGUAAGAGCAAAGUCACUGCAAUCGGGCUAAUCUGCCUAUAAAAGGAGGAAAAAGCCCCAAAGACAAGGACACUCAACCAAUCAAACAAACAAACAUAUAAACUCUGCUCUCAAGCCAGAUUUGCAUCCAAAAGCUGUAAUCAGCCCAGAUCUCAGUCAUUUUUAGGAUAUCUCCCUCACAAAAGUCAUCUUUUGUCUAGUUUAAAGCUCUGCUAUCACCCAUAGUGGCACAGUAUCAAUUCCCUUGUUUAAACUUGUUUACCAAUCCAUCCAUUUUUAGUGAAUAAACCCUGUAAACUUAAAAGAGAAGUGAUUACAAGUAGUUUAACCUUGCCCGACAAGGUGAAAUCUUGCUCAAAGCUCUUUGUUUGUUUUAUAAGUUAAUAGAUCUACUACUUAAUGUCUUAUCCAGCAUGUAUUCUAGUCAUUUCCAUCAGUUUUCCAAAUAUAAGAGUUCCAUUUGCAUCCGGAUCUGGUUAGUUUAAUGGACAUGCUAUCAUGAAAAUCAAUCAAGAACCAAGUAAAUGACUUAAAGGGAUAUGGACUCCCUCCAUUUGAACAUACAAGACUAUGAACUGAAAGUCCUUGUUCGCAAGGCAAGAAAAAGAACUUAAUGUGGACUUAACCCAUCCAUGACAUCCUUCGAUAACAAGAAGUCCGAGUAACUUGGGGCACAAGUAAUUGACUAAACAAAAUCUUGUUCUACUUCUGCUAUACUGAGAUAGCAGUGGCACACCUAACACUUGGUUAGUUUUGAUUGUGAGCCUUAAGGCCUACACCUAAGGCUCUACAAAAACACCUUUCAAAACUAACUUUAUCCUCUUCUUGCAGCACAUCAGUAGGCAAAAGCCCGACUACAUCCAAAAUACCAAUCCCUUUGGGAGCUGUGCUGAGAGCCGAGGAGGUCUCUCUGGAGAAAUCUUUGCUCGAACACAAUCUUAAUGUGGAGUCUGACCCAAUUAGGGUUAACACAAAUAAGACCCUAGUCCACUUGAGCAUGUAUGAGUCACUGAAGACCAACCUCCCUAGAGAGACUAUGGGGUUUUAGAACUAUCCAUUUGUGGCCAAGGAAGGAGAUGAUGAGAAAGACCCAAGAACGUAUCCAGGUCACAGAGAGGUACUGAUGUACUUGAAGGACUUCGCCAUAGAGUUCGAGAUAUCGGAGAUUGUGAGGUUGGAGACGGAGAUGGUAGUGGUGGAUGCGUUGGAGGGAGGGAAUUGGGAGGUCAAGUCCAAGAGUAAGAGAGAUGUGGAAGAUGAGAUUUAUGAUGUUGUGGUUAUGUGUAAUGGGCAUUAUACUGAACCUCGUCUUCCCCAAAUCCUAGGUAUUUAAGACUUCUCCAAAGCUCUGAACUUUGUGGUCUUUUGUUCUUCAGAUUGUUUGAGGAUGAAUUUGCAUCGUACUGGGAUGGGUUUUUAAUUCUUUGAUGGAUUAGAAUUUGCCCAAAGUUUGCACCUAGGAGUGGGUUAAAAAAAGCAAAAACUAAAAAAAAUCGAACUGAACACUGAAUCAAAACCAAAAAACCGACCUUAAUUAAACAAAACCUAAUCGAGAUGUUUUGCUUUUUGUAAACAUGGAAAUUCCUGCGAUGAACGAGACAAGAAACAUGUGUACAAAAUAAUAUUUGUAUUGAUGAUUUAGGGGUUACAAUCUCUUCUACAAAUUUAGCCUCUGAUUCUAUCUUUGUAAUGGGUGGAUUUGAUGUUGUUGAUCCAAAGGGCCGUCGGGGCUUGAUCUAGGGAUGAACGAAUGAUGAAUGAUGAACACUUUAUUCAAGGGCCGUGGGGGAGGGCUUGAUCUUGAAUUAGUGGAAGUUCUUCAAGGACCGUUGGGGCUUGCUUUUGAAUGAGGAUUUGACGAAGAACAAAGAGAGCUUUCUUGAUCCUUCGGGAUUUGCUUGGGAGCUUUGGAGUUUCAAAGCUUCAAGGUUGUGGUGUAAGGUGAAUUGGUUAUGAAUUGGUGUCUAAAAAUGAAUGCCUUGGCCUUCUAUUUAUAGAAUUCCAAUACUUGAUUUUUUUGGAUUUAAAUAAUCAGAUGAAAUAAAUCAUUUCUGCCAGGUGUUAACAUGUGUCCCGUUUGAUGACUUUUCUGAUUUAUUUUAAUUUUUCGUUUAGUCACAUGCUAUGUGUAAAAUUUAUGUGACACAUAAACAUUGAAAUUUUAAUUAUUGAUCAACAUUUAUUUUACCGAAAUUUCGAUGUUUACAAAUGCCCCCACUUCAAGGCGCGUCGUAUACAUGUGCUUGUCACGUGUAGAAGAUGCGUUUUGAAGUCCCUUACUGCAGAUGUUGAUCUAAGGGCUGUUGAGGCUUGAUCUUGAACUGGGUUGGUGAUUUCUUCAAGGGUCGUUGGGGCUUCAUCUUGAACUUUGUUUGAAAUUUCUUCAAAGGCCGUUGAGGCUUGAUCUUCGAGGUUGAAAUUGGACCACAAGGAACUUCAUGUGGUAGAUAAUCUUUUGCUUUGGUAGUGGGCGAAUCGGCAUGUAUUUUUUUGCGCUUGUUGACUUUCCACAGCUUUGAUCUUGAACCGGUUCGGAGGAGUUUCUGGUUUCCUUCAAUUGUUGACUUUCCACAGGCUUAUUCUUGAACUGGGUUGGAGGAUUUUCUAGUUUACUCCAAUUGUUGACUUUCCACAGGCUUAUUCUUGAACUGGGUUGGGAAGAUUUUCUGGUUUCCUCCAAAGGACUUUCCACAGGCUUAUUCUUGAACUGGGUUCGAGGAUUUCUUCAAGGGCCGUUGAGACUUGAUUCUUGAAGGUUGACUCGAACACAUGGCAAGCAGUCACAAGGUGAAGGUGAUGGCCUGUUUCUUUGUUCAAUCUUUCUAAUUCACACCUGAGCAGUUUGGUCAACGGUAUGAUCUUCAAGAGUGAUGGGCUUUUCUUCCAGUUGGUGACUUGAUCUUUAAGGAUUAUCGAGACUUUGCUCUUUGGCGAUAGUGCCAGUGAAAGGUUGUUGAAGCUUCUCGAGCUCUUUGGUUAUAGCAACGAUGGCAGGCUUGGAUUUGACUUAGACCCCUCCGUCUGGAUUAUGCAAGUUCUGCCGAGCAGGGUGUUCUGCCAUAAUGAUUUGUUUUGGCUCAUCGUGCUGCGUUUUUUUUUUUUUUGCUUGUUUCUUCCACCUAACCGAAGUGGUGCGCAACCCUUUGCCUUUAAAUGGUCCUUUAGAGUAUCACUUUUAAGCCACUCAUCCAUGCUUGGCAGCUUCAGUGUAAAGAGCCAACACCAUAUCAACUGUUUUGAAAUAUUUGCUGAGGAAAUUCGAUAUCCGUCAGCAGUUGAAGAUGAGUACUCAAGAGCAACGCUAGGUAAGCAACCAGGCAAAGGUUCUGGGCAAUCAGUUCCUGAUCGGACGUUUAAUUUCAGGUUCCGACUGAUUGCUUCCUUUCUCCUUGUUCUGCAGGCAAGAACAAGGGCAAAAGGAUAGGGAAAAAGCAUGAUAUGAGAUACCUUUGCUUUCAACCCCAAUGAUAUGAGAUACUUUUGCUUUUGAAGAAGUAGCGGAUGAUCAGCAUAUGUAUUUGUUGAGCUUGACUCCAUAUGUUUCGAUGCAUCAUUUUCACUCGCCUCUUCUGUUCUCUGGGCAGAUGUGGUAUCUUCUCUAGAAGCAUAAAAUGUUGAGAUAAUGGGUACUUCGAGAGCAGUGCUAGGUGAGCAAUCAGGAAAGGUUCCAAGCAGUCGGUUCCUUACCAAGAGCUUGAGUGGAGGUUCCAACAUAUUGCUUUCUUUAUCCUUUUCUUCGUAGUGAAGAAAGAUGACAAAGAAAAGGAUAGGGAGAAAGCAUGCUAUAAGAUACUCUUGCUCUCAACCCCAGUGAUAUGAGAUACCUUUGCUCCGGUGUGACUUGGUUGAAGAGGCGUUUCCAGGGAGGAAGAAAACUGAGUGUGUCAAGAGGUUUUAGUUGGAGAUGUAUUCUUAGAAAGGAAGAAGAGUCAGGCGUUUGUAUUUUCAGGGAGGAAGAAAACUAAGUUUUGGUUACGGAUGCAUUCGGCAAGGAAGAAGAGAAGUUGGAUGUGUGUCUUGCUAUGGAGGAUGGAGGUUGAAUUAUAUGGUGAGCUUCCAACAGCAAGUGGCAGGGUGGAUGUGGCCUUGUCUCCCAUGCUUUGUCGGCUAAAAGUCGGGUAGGUGGGUAUGAUGGACUCCACACGUUUUCAACUUUGUCAGUGCUUUCUGGCAAAGUUGUACAUGAUUUGCACGUGAUAGCCGAAAAUUGAAACUGCGUUUAAAAAGUGUCGGCGGAUUUUACGCAGGAAAAUCCGGGUUUUGAAAUUCGAAGAGUGGCGUCUCUUCGAUUUUUUUUUUUUUUUUUUUUUUUGUGAACAAGUGGUUGUGUUGCCUCUUCUUUUUAAAGAGGUGUCAAUUGCAUUCAACAUGCACACUUUGAAGAUUGCCCGCCUUUGACAAUCGUCUUUGUUGUAUUUCUGAGAUUUUACUCACUUCAACCCUUUUCUUUUACCAUCUUUUUGGAAAUGGCUAACCUGUCUAACAUUUGCUUAGAUUUGAGUCUCAGCAGUGACACAGGUGCACCGCGUCAGGGUAAUAUAUGGCGCCCGUCCUUCUCAUCUCCUAAUGGCCCUCUUACAGUUGAAGACUCUGUAAUGAGGGAUGCGGCAAUGGCUACGGUUGUAGCUAGGAACCUCAUCACUCCUAAAGAUAAUAGGAUUAGGGCUGGGUUCGGUUUAUAACGGUUCGGUUUUUUGCCAAAAUCGAAACCGAACCGAAAUUUUGGUUCGAUUCGGUUCGGUUCAUUUUUUUUCGGUUCGGUUUUUUUCGGUUUCGGUUUUUUUCGGUUCGGGUUUCGGUUUUUUCGGUUUUUUUUUUUUUUCUCAAAAACUAUCAACCUCCCAGUUCUCAUAUAUCAGCGAAGUGAGAGCCUCAAAAUCCUGAAUAUAUUCAAGCAUUUCAACUACUUAUGAUCAAGCAGAUCGAAUUCAAAAUUUCAAAACUUAAGCAAAUACAGAAACAUAUAUUCUUCAAGGAAAUGUACAGGAUUCGAAAUUCUAAAACUUUAAAAUUUGCAAAAUCAUGAAAUAAUUCAACAAAUUAACUGAUGCAGAUCGAAACAAAAAAAAAAGCAAAUGAGUUCGUCUAAAUGCCAUAAUCGGACUCCAAUAUCGCAUGCCCAGUGCCCACAUUCAAAUUCAUAGUCAAGUCCACAAUAGAUCUAGAAAAAUACAAAACAUAUUCAGAGAAAAAUACAAACUUUUCCACCUUAAAUUACAUAAAUUUCAAAUGGGUAACCAUAAAAUUAAAAACCCAUAAACUGAAAAAUAAAUAAAACCCACAACCUUUGCUGCAGCGACAUCGCAGUGAUUGUCGCAAGCUCUUACAAUUCCUCUUUUUGUCGGGUCUCGAAAGGGGCGAGGGAAAAUCAUUGUUUGGAAAAAAGAAUCCGCGAGGAGGGUAAGAGAACACUGGAGAGAGAGUG
rnacentral:lncRNA from 1 species